rnacentral:lncRNA from 1 species
GGCCCUAACCAGAAACUGACCAUGUUGAUCCUAGGCUUCCCAGCCUCCAGAACUGUGAGACAGUAAGUUUCUGAUGUUUAGACAAUCUUGUUAAGUUUCUGUUGCUGUGGUGUCUUGAACUGAAUACGACAGAGCCCAGGCUUUUGACUACUACAUCACAUAGACUUUUUUUCUUGGAUCAUGCUGUCAAUAGCAAGUGGGACUGGGAAGAAGAAGCCAAGAAAAGUAGAAAGAACAUCAAGAAGAAAUUAUAUUUCACGAGACAAAUAUUUUGAGGUUAAGGAUGCUGGUAUUGAAUUAACAAGGUCCAAUAAUUUGUAUGAAUUUUCAGUUAAGAAGUCCUCUGUGCUUUUGGGAGAGCAGUUUUAUGCUCGUAGGCAACAUAUAGGUUGAAAGAGUUAAGUAGUGGAUGUGGGAGGACAAUAAAUAUAACUUAAGCUCUUUCUAAAACAGUUGGCUGUGAAGAGAAAGGGGCAGGUAGGACAGUGGCAGGGGAGAGACAUAAAGUCCAGGGUUGUAUAUUAGUCUCAUUUGUUCAUUUGUUUUAUGAUAGAGAUACUUAUGUGCAGAAAGAGAAAAUUAGAAGAGAAUUCAAAGAAUUGUAGGGGGUAAGUGGAUAAAUCCCUAAGAAGGUGGAUGACUUGAGUUACAGGACAGUGAUCAAAGGUUAGCUUUGGACAGGAAGAGGGACACCCUUCCUCCAUACUGCCAGGAAGGAGGUGAGAAUGUGCGUGGCUGUUCCUCAGUGAGGGAGGAAACCAAGGAAGUGUGACCUAAUAACCUUUCUUUUGUUUCUGGGAAGGUGAUGUCAUUUGCUAAGUGAAAGGGGAGUAGGAAACCUGAAGAAAGUGGUGGAGGUUUGAAAUUGAUUGUGUGGGAAGUAAUGGAGGGAGCUGAUAAGGAACCCAAGGAAGGAUUGAUGGGCAGCAGUGAGACGGGCUGAGAUGGGAGGCCAUGUAUAUGCAGAGUUCUUACUCCUUGUGAAUAGGGGCUUUCAUAACAGUGGUCUCUAGUCCAGAUGUGGGAAGUCCAUCUUUAGAUUGAUCCUUAGGUGUGUAGUAGAAGGACAAGCCACCAAGAGAGUUAAGAAUGUAGGGCCAGAAAAUGGGCAAAACCUGGCACUCAGAUCCUAGGUUAUACUGGAUAAGCAGUGAAGUUUGGAGUAUAGAUAAAAAAUUGGGAAAAAGAAGGGAGGGAAAGUGGAUAAAAACUUGAAGCAUAAAGAGAUUUAAGAUCAGGUAUGGUUCAAUUGGUCAUUCAUUCAUCCACACAAUAAAUAUUAAUUAAGCACUUAUCUCCUAGAUACAGUUUGAGAUGCUAUGGCUAUGUAGAUCAAAACAGAGCUUAGUUCUGGUAGGAGAGUACAUCACACACACACACACACACACACACACACACACUCACACUUAAAUUUCAGAUGGUAAAAAGGUAUUACAAAGAAAAAUGAAAAAGAACAAGAGAUAGAAUGAUAUAGACGCUGUUUUGAAUAAUGUGUUCAGGGAAGAGGCUCUCAGACGUGAACUCUGAGCAAACACAUAGAUAUCAUCAGAUACACAGCAAUGCAGAUGUCUAGGGAAGAAUUUUCCAGGGUAAGGAAAUUGCACUUAAUCCCACAAAGAUUUGGUGGGGCUUUGCUUGAGGAGCAUCCAUGCUACUAGGAGGUAUGAGUGAGGAGAAUGGUAAUCAACUAGGAGCAUGAUUAGUGGUAAUCAGUUAGGGCCAAUGAAAAGAUUUAGGAUUUUACCCAUGACAUGGGAAAGCCAUUGGAAGGUUUCAGACAGAGGAGUGACACCAUUUUUCUUACUUUGCUGAAGGCUCACAUUGGCUGCUUUUUGGAGGAUUGGCGAUAGAAGUCUAGGAGGCAAGAGAUUGCAGUCCCUAAGUAGCAUGUUGGAAUUUGGAUUUCAGAAGUUGAAUGCUUCUGGGUGAAGAAUCCCUUUUCUGUUCCUUUAAGCAGAGGCAGCCACUCCACAAUAGGCAUUCUUUUCUGUGGAUAAAGACCUGACCCUGGCCUUUGGCUAAUGCCGCACCCUUUCCUGUUUUUGAGGGCUCCUCACCCACUUCAUUAUUCAUUCUCCUAUUUGUCCACACCUUGUCUUUUCAGAUCUGAUGUACAUCUUGUCUUCCUGACCAAGAGGUCCUUUUGGUCUUUUUUCAGACCCUUUUUAUCACAGUCUUCAGAAAACAUACCUGGAAGUUCAGUGUGUAAACCAGGGGGAAGUGAGGGGAAUGGGGUUGCUCACUUGCAGUUUUCCUCUGACCCUGCAUCAAUUUAGAUACCUCCAGAAAAGCCCAAGCCUCCCAAUUCACAGUGUGGAAAAGCCCUGCAUUGAACUGUGAUAUUGCCUUUCUUGUACUAAGCCAUAUCUGGGAUCACCUUGAGUCCUUCUUUUCCAGCUUAACCUGUACCUUCAUAAUCCUUAGGCACCCAGCUUACUAAAUAGUGGCAUGUGCAUCUCCUAGUACAAGGUGGUGCGCGGAGGGCACUCAGAACCAUGAGGGAGGCAUGGUGCAUCUUCCUGUGUGUACUCACUGGCUGUUAUUUACUAAAUUAGUUCAGUAAAAAUCAAUGUAGUUUCAGUUAUAAGCUGUGGGUUCUAUCAUUCUCAACAAAUUCUUUUAUUGACCAUAAUUAAGGAUAGUACAUAUUUUUAUAACAAAAGAAAAUAGAUGUAAUUUAGAGAGCAAUAUUUGUGUGGAUCUUAAAAAAAUUCUACACUAUCAAGAAAUUUGAAUUUUGCAUGGGCCACUUAGGGUUAUGCCUUCUCUCUCCUGGGGAUGAUUAGGUCCUUCUAUGUUAGGAACCCUUUAUUAUAAAUGGUUAGAACUACCUUUUUAAGUUGUUGAAUUUGUAAUACUGUAUUUUUUAUGUUUAAUGGAGCUAUUAUAACAUUUUUAUUCAGCAUGGAAUUGGACACUGCCAUGAUUUAGACUAUGAACCAUCAGGGUUUUCUGGCUAAAGGUAAAAAUAUAAGUAUUUUCUUUUAAUUAAUUUUGAUAAAUGCCAUUAAAUCAAGCACUGCUGUCUUACAAAAUGCUUUGUAAGAACCAGAUGAUGGCCUAGUAAUUGGAAUAGUACUCAAAAUAAGGUUGUCUUAGGUCACAAAAUAAGUUUCAUGCUUUGGAUUUUUAAAAGAUAUGUGUGUUAUCCUAUCCUCUCAAGAAACUCUAUGAUGAUUCCUGAGUUAAGGAUGUAUCUUCAGAUACUAGAAUAAAAACUUUCUUUGUCAGGACUGUUUACCUUUAGGGAAUUAAUUUAGGGAUAGGGGUUUUGCAUAACCGCCAAAUUAUGAAACUAAUGAGGACAAGAAUUUGGUUAUGUUCAUUGAUAAAUCCAUUCUCCUCAUUCAGACCUCCCAGUGUCAUGGAUGCUCCUCAAUAAUAUCAAUAGCAGGUAUUUAAAUGCUCGGCAUUCACAUGUUACACUUACUACUUUUUUAGUGAAUGAAUAAACCAUCUUUGAUAUAGCUGUGGAAGUGAUGUUAUCUGCUUUUAGAUACAGGAGAGCUUUAGGAUUGAAAGAGGGAGCCUUCCUAACUUUGGUGUCACAAUGAUGUGGCUGUCACUACAUGACCCCUUUAAACUAAUAGAAAUAGCAACACAGCUGUAAGUUUUCUUUAGAGUCUGACUGCCAAUUGUCAAGAUUGUUUAAUUAUAUGACAUACCAAUUCUGUCUGCAAAAUGGGGAUAGCAAUACAGAAUCUGUUGGUGCAUGUAACUGCACUGGGAUUAGGUGAGGUACAUAGAAUGGGAUAAAGUCCUUGUAAAUCAUGAACUUAUGUCCAGAAUUUAUUUAAAAAAUAAAAAACCUCGUACAACUCAGUAAUAAAAAGAUACUCAAGUAAAAAUUUCUGAACAGAUAUUCCUCUAAAGAUGAUUUACAAAUGGUUAAUAAACACAUGAAAAGAUGCUUAGUGUUAAUUAGUCACAGGUAAAAAACAAAUCAAAACUACAUAGGAUACCAUACUAAACCCACUAGUUGACUGUUAUCAAAAAUAGUAACAAGUAACAGAUAAUGAUGUGGAGAAACUGGAGCCUUCAUAUGUUGUUGUAGGGAUUGUAAAGGAGAAAGAAGCUGCUUUCGAAAACAGCUUGGCAGUUCUUCAAAAGGAUAAAACACAUUACCCAGCACUUCCACUCCUAGGGAUCCACCAACGAUACAUAAAAAUAAAAAGCCACACAAAACAUGUACAUAAAUAUCCAGAGUGACAUUAUUCUAAUAAUGCAUAGUUAGUAAAAAUCCAAAUAUCUAUCAGAUGAAUAAAUAAACAAAAUAUGUUUUGUUCACACCAUGGAAUAUUAUUCAGCAUUAAAAUGAACUGUCAUGUGCGACAACAUGGAUGAAUUUCAAAACAUUAUGCUGAGUGAAAAACUCAGACACAAAAGGCAAUGUGUUGUAUGAUUUCAUUUAUAUAAAAUGUUCAGAGUAGGCCAGUCAGUAGGGAUUAAAAAAUAGAUUAAUGAGUUGGAAGGGUUGGAGGGGAGGAGUGCACAGUGACUGCUAAAUAGGUAGAGUUUCUUUUUGAGAUGAAAAUGUUCUAAAAUUGUGGUGAUGCUUUCCAAAUUCAGUGAAUAUAUUACAAUUGCUAUAUUGUAUACUUUAAAAGGGGGAAUUGUAUGAUAUGUGAAUUAUACAUCAAUAAAGCUAUUAAAAAAAGAAUAAAUGAGAUAAUAUGUGGGCAUAUACUUUGAGUUAUUUAAGAAGAUACUAUUAUUAUUUUAAUUUGACUCUGAGGCUUUUAAUAGUAGCAAGAUGACUUAGAUGUUUUUCCUGACUUGCAAGCCUGUGAUUUUUAUGCCAUGACUCAACUUUAUAAGGCUGUAACUCAGUAAUAUAAAAUAUCGAAAAUGUUGAAACAUAAAAGGAAAACUGCUUGGUCUAUUAUUUUUAUUUAAUAGGAUUUUCUGAAUCAGUUAAUUAGCAAUAAGUAGAAUAUGUCAUUAAGGAAUUAGGUUUUAGAUUCAUAAAAUUUUAGAGCUAGAAGAACUUCAGAAGUCAUCUAUUCUUAGCUUUUUCAUUUUGUUUUGUGAGAGAACUGAGACCUUAGGUCACAGAGUUGAGCAAAUUGUAUAACUGAGUCAUUUCAUUAUUUUUUCUGUUGACUGGUUUUGAUGCUGUUAGUAUUAUCAAAACUUUCAAUAUCAAUAGUAGCUAUUUAAAUGCAUCCUAUAUAUUAGGCACUCUGUUAGGUACUUUAUUUACAGUAUCUAGGUUAAUCUACAUGAUAUUUAUGAAGAUAGUAUAUUUUACUUGUGUAUUAGUUUUCUAUUGUUGCUGUAAAAAUAAAACACAAAACAACUUCUGUGGCUUAAAUAGCCUAAGUUUGUUAUCUUACCCUUCUUGAGGCCAGAAUCCCAAAUGAAUCUCACUGAGAGGGCUACAUUUCUUUCUGAAGGCAUUAAGGGAUUGAAUCAGUUUGCCUGUCUUCCAGCUUCUGUAGUUACACCCCCACCUUCCUUAAUUUGUAGCAGCCUCCCUCUUUAAAGCCAGUGAUGACUGGUUAAGUCUUUCUCAUAAUGCCAUCUCUCUGGUUCUGAUUUUUCUGCUCUUCCGUCCCCGUUAAGGACUUUUGUGAUUAUUUUAGACUAACCAAGAUAGUCCAGGAUAGUCUACUUAUUUUAAGGUACAUCUGCAUCUUUCAUUCCAUUCCCCCUGGCCAUGUAAUAUAGCAUAGUCAGAGAUUUUAGGAAUUAGGAUAUGGGAGGGACAGUGUUUUGCCUACCACAGUCUGUUAACUAGAUGAGCAAAUUUGGGUUUAGAGAAGCUAAAGAACCAGAUGAUGGCCUAGUAAUUGGAAUAGUACUCAAAAUUCAAAGUCACAAGAGUAGUAAAAUGAAAGAACUGAUAUUCUAUUCUAGGUCUAUCAUGUGUCAUAUAUAUUCACAAUAACAUAUUUUCCACAAAUAUCAUUUAGUCCUGGUCUGGAAAAGUAAAUGAGUUGAAGAUUUGGAAUAGUACACAGAGAUUGUUAACUACAUAAGGAGUUUUUUUCUUGAUGAUGAGCUAUGUUCAAAUAUUAUCUCUUUAUUUUUUUAAUUAUGUGUAUUUAGGGGAACAACAUAUUUUAAUAUACUUAGUGAAAUAUUUACUAUAGACAAGCAAAUUAACAUAUCAGUCAUCUCACAUAGCUAUCCUUUUGGGUUUUUUGGCAGCAAAGCAGAAGUCUCUAAUGUAGUAUAGUAUUAACCAUAGUCUUGUUUUACAUUGUAUUUCUAAGCUUGUUUGUCCUACAUAUCUGCAACUUUGUAUUCCUUGACUCAGCUACAUCUUCAUUUUUUCCUUUCCUGCCUGGGAAUCUCCAUUUUGUUGUCUAUGUCUGUGUAUUAAACUUUUCUUCUUAAAGAUUCCAUUUGUAUGUGAGAUCACAUAGUAUUUGUCUUUCUGUAGCUGACUUAUUUCACUUUUCAUAAUGUCUUCCAUGUUCAUACAUCUUGAAGCAAAUGGAAACUUUUUUUAAGUUGGAUAAUAACUCAUUAUGUAUAUACACAGACAUAAACACACACACACACACACACACACACACACACACACAGUUUCUUUAUCCAUUUGCUAUGAUUAGUGUGUGGUUUAAUUGUGUCCCUGAAAUUUCAUGUCAUUUAAAGUCUUGGUCCCUAGGAUGUAAUAUUGGGAGGUGGUGGAACCUUUUAGAAGUGGGACCUAGUCAGAUUUCCUUAGGUUGUUGAGGAGUGCUCUUAGAGGGUAGUUCUCCUGUAUCCUCUUGAAUUCUGUUCGAAGUGUUGUUAUAAAAGGAGCAAGCCUGGUCCCACCCAACUUUCUGCUUCCUGCUUGAGAAACUUGCCCCAACAUAUACUACCACAGUGUUAUCUGCCAUGAGAUGAUGCAGCUAAAGGACAGUUCCCACCAGUGCGUGUGCUGUGCUGUUGUGUUUAAACCUCCCAAAUUGUAAGCUAGAUAAACCUCUUUUCUUAAUAAGUACUGUGUCUUAGGUAUUUCAUUAUAGUAAUGAAAAGCUGGUCAAUAUACCAAUCUUCUGUGCGUGGACGCUUCUGUUGUUUCCAUUCCUUGAUGACUGUGAAUAAUGCUGCAGUGAACAUGGGAAUGUAGAUAUCUUUAUGAGGUAGUGAUUUAAUUUCCUUUGGAUAUAUAUACUCAGAAGAGGGAUUUUGGGGUUAGGUCAUAUGAUAGUAGUGUUUUAAAUUUCUUUAGGAAUCUUCAAAUUGUUUUUCACAAUGACUGACUAAUUUACAUUUCCACCAAAUAUAUAAAAGGGUUCCCUUUUCUCCACACCUUCACCAACACUUAGGUCAUGCAGCUUUUUAUUAUUAAAGUAAAAUUAUAUCAAGGAACUAACCACAUUAUCAUGGAACAGUUAAAAGCAUAGUAGAGAAGUGUAUUUAUUGAUAUGGAAGAAUGUUUAUGACUUAAAGAUUUCCACUGUAUUAGUAUUUUUUUUUAUUACUGUAACAAAAUAUCUGAGGCAUGCUACUUUAUAAAGAAGUAAGUUUAUUUUGGCUCUUGGUUCUGGAAUUGCAAGGUCUAGGGGCCUCCUCUGGUAAUGGCCUUCUUGCAGGUUAGGUUCUGAGGCUACACAGAGCAUCAUAUGGCAAGAGACAAGUAUAACCCAUGUGUACGUGUGUGCCUUCUGAUGUCUUUCUUUUUAUAAAGCCACCAAGAUUCAAUCAUGAGAGCUCUACGCUAAUGACUUUAUAUAAUCCUAAUCACUUCCCAGAGGCCCCCACUUCCAAACUCCACAGAUUUUUUCUAGUGUCUUAACACCUCACAAUGGGAAUUAAAUUUCAACACAUAUAGCCUUGAGGAACUCUCAAUCAUUAACCUCACCCCCACUUCUCUCUAUUCAUUAGCUCCCCUAUUAUCAGUUCUUUCUUAACAUAGCCUAUAUGCUCAAAUUCAAAUUAUUUUCCUGCAAAUUUCCCAUUUUCUUUGUAGCUCUUUGUUGUCUCUGACCUGGCAAAGCCUCAGGACUGGGUGAACCCAACUACCUGCUAGUUUUUUCUCUUUACUGAUGUAUUUAAGAGCUUUCAAAUUGCCCUGCGAUUUCAUCCAGUGUGUCUGCAUUACCUCUGUUUCUCACUCCCCACUGUGUGCUGCUUCUGUUCUUCUCAGGCCUCUUAGUGCCCUGCCAGUGUUACUGGACAUGACAGUCGUUCUCCAGGGACCGUGCUUCCUUUUGAAAACACUCUUGUCUUGGCUUUUUGUUUCCUUUUUCUCAUUCUAGUUAACCCUCUUCUGUCUUCUCUGUUCUUCUGCUUUUCCCUGACUUCUAAAAGAGGGUUCAUGGAGAUAAAUUCCUCCUCUUUUUCUCUUUACUUUUGGUUUUAAAUGUAAUCUCUUUGCCCAAGUCUUUCAUGUUACUUCUAGCCCAGAGUUUGUUAGGUGUAGCGCUAUUGAUAUUUGGGCUGGAUAAUUAUUUUGUUGUGGGGGACUGUCCUGUGCAUUGUAGUAUAUACAGUAGCAUGUUUGACCUCUACCCACACUAGGUGCCAGUAGAAAUCCCUCUGCCCCAGUUGUGGCAACCAAGAUAUCUAUAGAUAUUGCCAGAUUUCUCUUGGGAGCAGAAUAACCCCCAUUUGAGAAUUAGUUAACUAGCCUAAAGCUCUCUUCUGAGGGACCUAAGGAAAAUAUCUUUUUGACAUCAACAACUUCAUCUCAUUGGCAUCACAAAUUUAACAUGAUAAAAAUGGACUCUUGUUUUCUGUCCAAUAUGUUCUUUCUCCAGCUUUCCCCCUUUUGUAUCUUUCAUGGCCUUGUGGGCUUUGGAAGUACUUUGGCUUUAAUUUGGAGCGAAUAGGAAGCCUCGGGGAGUUUGGAGCCAAGAACUGAGAUAGUCUCCUUUUGGUCAGACCUUCUAUGAGAAUAGACUAUGAGUGGGAAGAUUGCAGCAGGAAGACCAAAUAAGAGAUCACUGUGGUGAUGCCAGUGAAGAAUGGUAGUGCCCUGGGCUGGGGUGGUAAUAGAAGGGGUGGUAAGAAGUAGUGUCUUUGGAUUAUUCCUGAAAAGAGUAGUGCUCUGUCUCAUCAUGAAAUUAAUAACAGUAUGUUUUACUUUUCAAGUGUUUUCUAAGAACUUAUGAGAAACAGGUUUUGAAUCAGAGGUAGAAGAAAAUAAUGAAAACCCAGGAACUUUCUAGGAUUUUACUGGAAGGGAUUCAGCCCAGAAUAGGAAGCAACAUGAGGGAUAUAACAGGAUGAGUAAGCAAAACAUCCUGUAUAGCCAGGGCUACCUCACAGUCUUAUCUAUGACUGACCCUCCCACUGUAAAACAGGUACCUUUAGAAGAAUAGCUAUGACAAAUGGAAGUCGCAAGACUCCUUCAUUAAAUAUCAGAAGCAAGUCAUUUUGGAUUAUAUGACUAUUUAUUGAAGUAGGGUGACUAUUGAUAUUUGGGAUGAGACAGGUUUUUGUUGUACAGGAUUGUCUAAUACAUUGCAAGACACCUAAGGUCCCUGGUUCUUCAAAAACUAGCAUAAGUAUGUUCCCUUUUUUGUGACCUCUAGAAAAAUGUGCCUCCCUCUACACAUCAAUUUCCAGAGUGCACAUGGGAGUUGGACUUGCUCAACAGCAAACUGCUGGACUAAGCCCACUUUUCUAAUUGCUCAAUUACCUUUCAUAAGGCUAUGACAUAUUAGAUUCUUAAAAACACCUUGAAUUGUUUGUUUUUAGUCUUGGGGAUUUAGAAGGUAUCUUCUAGAACUUUAAAAUUAGCUAAUUUUUAUUACUGAUACACCCCAUGUGUUUUCUGUUCAUAUAUAUACCUUAAAAUUAUUAAUUCUUAAAUCCUUUAACAGAAGGUGUGGAUAUCUCAGGGCCAUUUCUAAAGAUAGUGGGAAGGACACAUGCUCUCUUGCCAGCACUAUAAUGUAAGGAAACAUGAACUAAAAUGAAUGUGGAGUUUGGAUGAAAAAGAAUUUCCUUGUUGGAUUUUGUCAGAGAGCAUGGUAAAUAGGAUUGAAAGAGGGAGCUCAAUGGCUAGUAUGUGAAUAUUUUUGUACAUCAAGUCUUUAUCAGGUCUAUCUAGUAUCAAGAGCUAAAUAUAUUUUAUAUAAUAUUUUUUAAAAGUAGUAGAAAAUAGAAUGUAACAUUCAUCAUAUAUGUGAAGGAUUAAAGUAUUGGAACACUGGAAAACCAAGAAAAAGAUCAACAAUUUUGAAUGUGUCGCAAUAACAGGACCAGGAGAAAUGCUUGUAUCAAGCAUGAUGAAGGAUUGAUAUCCAAAAUACCUAAAGAGUUUUCUCAAACUUAGUGAGGUAAAAAUAUUAAAAUUCAGUACAUAAGUGGGUAGAGUGUUUUAGCAGUUAACAAACAGUACAGUAAAAUGUGGGCAUGUUCACCAUUAACUGGGUAAUCAAAGAAAUGCAUUUUAAAUCAACCUUGAGUUACCACUUCCAUUCUCUCAAAGUACUUAAAAUAAUUCCAUGUUCUUGAGGGGUUUAAAAGAAAGGAGCCCAUUCGUACUUGUUUGUUCUUAUGCUUUAUCUAUUCCUAGUCACUGCUUUUCUCUGAAUAUUCUGUGUGAUUUUGGGCUCUUGUACCUUAUCCUCAUGGGUGUUUUCCCUUUGCUUCCUGGUCUCCUGUCCAGGAAAGGGUGAAGGAUUUUCACCCUUGUAGAACAGCAGUCAGAACCUGGGGGCAUCCCUCCCCACUCAGUGCUGGUGAGCAUUCUGCACUGCAGCCCUGGGCACAGGAGUCAGUCCUUGCCACUGGCAGGUGGGUCUUGAGGCCUGAGAUGGUCAGGUCCUGCCUCAGGGCCUGGUGCACAGUAAUUGUUUGAUGACUGUUGUCCUAAGUCAUUGAACUUUGGUGAAUAUUUUAAUGAACUACAGUACAUUGGGUUGUUGAAAUAACAUGAUCAUUGGAAGUAUGAGUAUGGUCAAUUUUGUAACUAAGUACAAAAUGAUAUUUUCAGUGUGAUUUUAACUUCACUUGAAAAGUAAUGUGCAUAAAAUGAACUGCUUUAUAUUUUUAGACUAUUGAUAAACUUUUUAAAUUUACUAUAGUCUUUAUGAUAAAAUAUGUAAUUUAAAAAGUCAACUAGCAAACUGAUCUCUACCUCCUCCAUCACAGACUAACCUCUUGGUGUAAGACUGGAAGACGCCGCACCACACGACACAGAUCACCAAAGAGGUUUCCACUUUAUUACAAAAGACUGUGUGUUCAUAUAGGUCUAAGGAGAGGUCGCAGGGCUAAGGUAGAUAACAGAUCGCCCGUUUAUGGGCAAGCUCUUCCAUAUGUCAGUUCCGGAGCCCAAGAAGUUAAUUCUAAUUGGGGCUAAGGUUUCCCACCAGCAGGGUUUGAGCAUUGGCGCCGGCGGGAACGUUUCGUGCCAGUGAAAGAAACAAAGAGGAGAAAGAGGGUCGUUAGACGCCACCGUGGGGUUUUUCUCUGGGGUGCUGCUGCUGUUAUAUGUUUUCCCAACACUGGGUCUCCUGUCCAGUUAUCUGGUCGAACAGGAAGUAGGAUGGUCUUGUGGACAUUUAAAGAUAAUUGCAUUUAUGUGAGUGGAAUUAGGUCCUCAAGCAUAUUUGAACUUACACUGUUCCUUGAUGCAUGUAGCUUGAGAAAUUUUAUUUUCUAAAUAAUUUUAUUUUAUGGGUGUAUAGCACUAGUUUUUAGUUUACAAAUGUGUUCCCAUUAUCAAAGAUAAAUUCCAAAGCUUCUAAUGAUGUCAAGUAUAAAUGGUGAUUGAUUCCUUUAACAUAUUUUGAGUGUGACCAUCUGCCUGUGACCAACAUAGAGAAUUUCUUUAAACAAGUCCUUGUCAGGGAAGACAGACACUCCAGAGGCACUUCAUAUAGUACCAUGAGUGCCAUGAACAUGUGAUGAACAAAGUACAGGGAAGACUGCGGGGAGGGAGAAGUUCUUUUUUCUUUUUUCUAUUUUUUUUUUUUCCCAAAGGAGGCCAGUGAGAUGCAAGGUUCUUCUCUAGUGAGUUGACUCCUCAGCAGGACUUCAGAGAAUUGACAAAAUUUUUUGCCAGGAGGAAGGAAAAAACAAAAAGCAUGAACAGAAAGGCAGAGGUAGGGCUGGGGAUGUGGCUUAAGCAGUAGCGCGCUCGCCUGGCAUGCGUGGGGCUCUGGGUUCGAUCCUCAGCACCACGUACAAAUAAAGAUGUUAUGUUCACUGAAAACUAAAAAAAUAAAUAUUAAAAAAAAGAAAGGCAGAGGUAUAGAAGUAUAGGAUCUGUUCAGAAGCCACUGAAAGAUUUUAGAGAGGGAUAUGACAUGGUCAGGUUUGUGCUUUUGAGAGAAAAUUGAGGUCAAUGUGGAAAAUGAUUAUAACAAGAAGACAUGAGAAAAGUGAUUCUCAAACUCAGUUCUAAGUUUUGUUUUUUUGUGUGUGCUCUCCCAUGUGACAUUUAAAUAAGCAUCCUCAGUGUUUAGAUUGCAAUAUAGAUAAAACAUUAUAUUAUACACAGUUUUAGCCAGUCAACCUUGUGACCUCACUAUACCUAUAUAUAAGGUGUCUCUUCUAAAAUUCUGAGUAAGAACCAGUGCACUAAGGAAUGAGAUCAGUGAAGAGGCCAUUGGUGGUGCUUCUUUAAAUUCACUGUAUAGACUUGGUGUCAGAGUUGAUGUAUAAGGCUAGAGAAAAAAGGAAGUGCAGACCAUUGUUACUCAGAUUUUUAUGUGCAUAUGAAUUGCUUUGGGAAUUAAAAGGUCAGUUCUGAUGCAGCAGGUCUGGGGCAGAGCCUGAAAUUCAGAAUUUUUAUAGGUUCUUAGUGAUGCCAGCAAUUUUUGUCCAUGGACCAUAUUUAAGUAGCAAAAGUGAGCUAACUUAGGUGUGAGGCUGCAGUGACUAGAUGGUGCUGUCAUCAUUUGAAAUGCAGAACACAAAAGAAAAGAAAGGUUGGGGAGAACCCGAGGAAUCUGUGUCUUUCUGGGAUGUUUAGAUCAAGAAUUAUUGAUAGCUGGAAAUUUGGAUAUUAAGCAUAAGGAAAAAAAUGAGGCCUAGAGAUACAGAUUUGGAAAUCAGUAUUUCAUUGUUGGUAGUAAAAGCUGUGAGAAUAAAUGACAUUUCCUGUAAGAAGGAGAUAAAAAUCCUAUUAGAAAAUAUACUUAUUCCUGUUUCUAGAAUUUUGAUGCUUCAUUCAAGUGACUAUAAACCAGCAAUGGAGAAGAAACUAGAGAGUUUCUCCCUGUAAAUAAUUCUUGUGGUAAAUUCAGGAAUGGGGAAGCCUUCUUUGGAAAACAGCCUUCUUCCUUGGUAAUGACUGGAGAUGAAGUUAAACAUUCCAUAGAUCUGUUUAAGAAUGCAUUGAAGUAUCUUUUUUAUUAUGAAAAUCCAUUCAUAUAAAAAUAUGUAUAAGCGGCUUCAAUAUGUCAGGCCUUCUUUUCUAAGCUCUGGGUUAAAAUAAUAGCAAAUACAAUGAAUCCCUGAUACAAUGGAGCUUAUUGGAAGAUUGACACAAGUAAUUAUAAUAUAGUAUGGUAAAUGAUAAUAGGGAAGUGUCGGAUGAUAUGAGAGCCUACAUACAUCAGGAGCACAUGACUCAGUGGGAGACAUGGGAUGACCUUCCUAAGGAAGUAACAUUUAAACUGAGAUCAGAAGACUGAGUGGAGGUGACCUACAAAAAGAGGAAAAGAUGGGCAUGCAAGCAGUGUCUUAGAGGGGAGAAGGGCUUGCAGGUUGGUGUAGUUCAGCAUAUCUGACCCAUAAGGUAUGUGGUAUGAGACUGAUGAGAGAUGAUCUUGGAGAAGUGAACAAAGUUCAUGCUAGGCAGUGAUGCCUGGGACUUGGGAUAGGGUCAGAAAAUGAUAUAGAAGGAAAAACUAUUAUUCUACCUUAGUGUAGUUCAAGCAGUAGUCUUAUUUAUGCAUAUGAUUUUACAAGUUUUUUAUGGACUGACCUAAUAAUGGAAUAGUUACAUUGUUUCUAUAGAAAAAAUGUCUGGACUUCCAAAAUUGUAUUAUAAUUUAACUUUCAAAAAAUUAUUUUAACUAUUUGGGAACUGCUUGGAUAAAUGUAUAACUCUAGUGCUUUUUGCUAUUCAUGCUAAAAAUGUGCUUUUACUGGUAUUUUUUAAAAUGGCUACAGUGUUGAUUGACUCACUUUCUGAUAAAAAUCAAAUAAAUGUAUCAUUCCACAGAUGGGAUUGAAUUUUUUUCUCUUGACCAUAUUUAGAAAAUAUAUGGAAAUAAAUAUAUUAAUAUUUAUAAAUUGUAUGGUGCCCUAUACCAGGACAGUCUUCCCACCCUAAUUACCUCCACCAUCCUGAGGGCAGAUACACCCUUACAACAGAAAACCCCACCUAUUGGAAGAGAAAAGAAGCAGGAAAAAUACGGAUCUCUAAAACUAGUAACAACAACAACUGGUUUCUUUCUUCAAGUAUUUUUUCUCUUUCUCUUCUACCCCUCCAUCCUCCGCCCUCACAUCUCCAACAUAUGUGAACCCAAGAACUUUACAUGAAAAGGAUUUUGAGGACUGAGUCAUCUUAAUAAUAUAAUAUAGAGGUGUUGUAUAUGCCCCUUUUUUUCUUUUUCUUCCCUUCUCCAAAUUUUACUAUUUUAACAUCCUGCAUUUUUCUAAAUAUAUAUAUAUAUGUGUUUGUUUUAUGUACUCUACUGUCUUCCCAAGUACUAUCUACCCUAAAUUACUUCCUGUCUGUUCUCUUGCUACUAACCCUCUUCAUUAGAUUUCUCUUUCACUCUUCCUAAGAUGUAUUAACUCUAUAUCCUCAUAUCCUACCUCCUUAGCAUAUCAUCCUACGCCCCACCCCCAGUUUAUUGUCUACCAUCAGAAACUGUAAACUUUUUUUUUACAAAACUACUGAUUCUAUUUUAGAUAAUAAUUGAAUCCAACAUUUCUGUACAUUGAGACUAAACUGUAAAUGUCUUAAUAACAAUGAAUUGUUCAUAGGCNNNNNNNNNNNNNNNNNNNNNNNNNNNNNNNNNNNNNNNNNNNNNNNNNNNNNNNNNNNNNNNNNNNNNNNNNNNNNNNNNNNNNNNNNNNNNNNNNNNNNNNNNNNNNNNNNNNNNNNNNNNNNNNNNNNNNNNNNNNNNNNNNNNNNNNNNNNNNNNNNNNNNNNNNNNNNNNNNNNNNNNNNNNNNNNNNNNNNNNNNNNNNNNNNNNNNNNNNNNNNNNNNNNNNNNNNNNNNNNNNNNNNNNNNNNNNNNNNNNNNNNNNNNNNNNNNNNNNNNNNNNNNNNNNNNNNNNNNNNNNNNNNNNNNNNNNNNNNNNNNNNNNNNNNNNNNNNNNNNNNNNNNNNNNNNNNNNNNNNNNNNNNNNNNNNNNNNNNNNNNNNNNNNNNNNNNNNNNNNNNNNNNNNNNNNNNNNNNNNNNNNNNNNNNNNNNNNNNNNNNNNNNNNNNNNNNNNNNNNNNNNNNNNNNNNNNNNNNNNNNNNNNNNNNNNNNNNNNNNNNNNNNNNNNNNNNNNNNNNNNNNNNNNNNNNNNNNNNNNNNNNNNNNNNNNNNNNNNNNNNNNNNNNNNNNNNNNNNNNNNNNNNNNNNNNNNNNNNNNNNNNNNNNNNNNNNNNNNNNNNNNNNNNNNNNNNNNNNNNNNNNNNNNNNNNNNNNNNNNNNNNNNNNNNNNNNNNNNNNNNNNNNNNNNNNNNNNNNNNNNNNNNNNNNNNNNNNNNNNNNNNNNNNNNNNNNNNNNNNNNNNNNNNNNNNNNNNNNNNNNNNNNNNNNNNNNNNNNNNNNNNNNNNNNNNNNNNNNNNNNNNNNNNNNNNNNNNNNNNNNNNNNNNNNNNNNNNNNNNNNNNNNNNNNNNNNNNNNNNNNNNNNNNNNNNNNNNNNNNNNNNNNNNNNNNNNNNNNNNNNNNNNNNNNNNNNNNNNNNNNNNNNNNNNNNNNNNNNNNNNNNNNNNNNNNNNNNNNNNNNNNNNNNNNNNNNNNNNNNNNNNNNNNNNNNNNNNNNNNNNNNNNNNNNNNNNNNNNNNNNNNNNNNNNNNNNNNNNNNNNNNNNNNNNNNNNNNNNNNNNNNNNNNNNNNNNNNNNNNNNNNNNNNNNNNNNNNNNNNNNNNNNNNNNNNNNNNNNNNNNNNNNNNNNNNNNNNNNNNNNNNNNNNNNNNNNNNNNNNNNNNNNNNNNNNNNNNNNNNNNNNNNNNNNNNNNNNNNNNNNNNNNNNNNNNNNNNNNNNNNNNNNNNNNNNNNNNNNNNNNNNNNNNNNNNNNNNNNNNNNNNNNNNNNNNNNNNNNNNNNNNNNNNNNNNNNNNNNNNNNNNNNNNNNNNNNNNNNNNNNNNNNNNNNNNNNNNNNNNNNNNNNNNNNNNNNNNNNNNNNNNNNNNNNNNNNNNNNNNNNNNNNNNNNNNNNNNNNNNNNNNNNNNNNNNNNNNNNNNNNNNNNNNNNNNNNNNNNNNNNNNNNNNNNNNNNNNNNNNNNNNNNNNNNNNNNNNNNNNNNNNNNNNNNNNNNNNNNNNNNNNNNNNNNNNNNNNNNNNNNNNNNNNNNNNNNNNNNNNNNNNNNNNNNNNNNNNNNNNNNNNNNNNNNNNNNNNNNNNNNNNNNNNNNNNNNNNNNNNNNNNNNNNNNNNNNNNNNNNNNNNNNNNNNNNNNNNNNNNNNNNNNNNNNNNNNNNNNNNNNNNNNNNNNNNNNNNNNNNNNNNNNNNNNNNNNNNNNNNNNNNNNNNNNNNNNNNNNNNNNNNNNNNNNNNNNNNNNNNNNNNNNNNNNNNNNNNNNNNNNNNNNNNNNNNNNNNNNNNNNNNNNNNNNNNNNNNNNNNNNNNNNNNNNNNNNNNNNNNNNNNNNNNNNNNNNNNNNNNNNNNNNNNNNNNNNNNNNNNNNNNNNNNNNNNNNNNNNNNNNNNNNNNNNNNNNNNNNNNNNNNNNNNNNNNNNNNNNNNNNNNNNNNNNNNNNNNNNNNNNNNNNNNNNNNNNNNNNNNNNNNNNNNNNNNNNNNNNNNNNNNNNNNNNNNNNNNNNNNNNNNNNNNNNNNNNNNNNNNNNNNNNNNNNNNNNNNNNNNNNNNNNNNNNNNNNNNNNNNNNNNNNNNNNNNNNNNNNNNNNNNNNNNNNNNNNNNNNNNNNNNNNNNNNNNNNNNNNNNNNNNNNNNNNNNNNNNNNNNNNNNNNNNNNNNNNNNNNNNNNNNNNNNNNNNNNNNNNNNNNNNNNNNNNNNNNNNNNNNNNNNNNNNNNNNNNNNNNNNNNNNNNNNNNNNNNNNNNNNNNNNNNNNNNNNNNNNNNNNNNNNNNNNNNNNNNNNNNNNNNNNNNNNNNNNNNNNNNNNNNNNNNNNNNNNNNNNNNNNNNNNNNNNNNNNNNNNNNNNNNNNNNNNNNNNNNNNNNNNNNNNNNNNNNNNNNNNNNNNNNNNNNNNNNNNNNNNNNNNNNNNNNNNNNNNNNNNNNNNNNNNNNNNNNNNNNNNNNNNNNNNNNNNNNNNNNNNNNNNNNNNNNNNNNNNNNNNNNNNNNNNNNNNNNNNNNNNNNNNNNNNNNNNNNNNNNNNNNNNNNNNNNNNNNNNNNNNNNNNNNNNNNNNNNNNNNNNNNNNNNNNNNNNNNNNNNNNNNNNNNNNNNNNNNNNNNNNNNNNNNNNNNNNNNNNNNNNNNNNNNNNNNNNNNNNNNNNNNNNNNNNNNNNNNNNNNNNNNNNNNNNNNNNNNNNNNNNNNNNNNNNNNNNNNNNNNNNNNNNNNNNNNNNNNNNNNNNNNNNNNNNNNNNNNNNNNNNNNNNNNNNNNNNNNNNNNNNNNNNNNNNNNNNNNNNNNNNNNNNNNNNNNNNNNNNNNNNNNNNNNNNNNNNNNNNNNNNNNNNNNNNNNNNNNNNNNNNNNNNNNNNNNNNNNNNNNNNNNNNNNNNNNNNNNNNNNNNNNNNNNNNNNNNNNNNNNNNNNNNNNNNNNNNNNNNNNNNNNNNNNNNNNNNNNNNNNNNNNNNNNNNNNNNNNNNNNNNNNNNNNNNNNNNNNNNNNNNNNNNNNNNNNNNNNNNNNNNNNNNNNNNNNNNNNNNNNNNNNNNNNNNNNNNNNNNNNNNNNNNNNNNNNNNNNNNNNNNNNNNNNNNNNNNNNNNNNNNNNNNNNNNNNNNNAAGAGACAGCUGCUACAUCGAUGUUCAUAGCAGCACAAUUCACAAUAGCAAGACUGUGGAACCAACCUAGAUGCCCUUCAAUAGACGAAUGGAUAAAAAAAAUGUGGCAUUUAUACGCAAUGGAAUAUUACUCUGCAUUAAAAAAUGACAAAAUCAUAGAAUUUGCAGGGAAAUGGAUGGCAUUAGAGCAGAUUAUGCUAAGUGAAGCUAGCCAAUCCCUAAAAAACAAAUGCCAAAUGUCUUCUUUGAUAUAAGGAGAGUAACAAAGAAUCGAGUAGGGACGAAGAGCAUAAGAAGAUUAACAUUAAACAGGGAAGAGAGGUGGGCGGGAAAGGGAGAGAGAAGGGAAAUUACAUGGAAAUGGAAGGAGACCCUCAGGGUUAUACAAAAGUACAUACAAGAGGAAGUGAGGGGAAAGGGAAAAAUAAUACAAGGGGGAGAAAUGAAUGACAGUAGAGGGGUAGAGAGAGAAGAGGGGGGAGGGGAGGGGAGGGGAGGGAGGAUAGUAGAGGAUAGGAAAGGUAGCAGAAUACAACAGACACUAGUAUGACAAUAUGUAAAUCAAUGGAUGUGUAACUGAUGUGAUUCUGCAAUGUGUAUAUGGGGUAAAAAUGUGAGUUCAUAACCACUUGAAUCAAAGUGUGAAAUAUGACAUAUCAAGAACUAUGUAAUGUUUUGAACAACCAACAAUAAAAAAUUUAAAAAAAAAGAUAAAAAAAAAGAAUCACUAAUAUUAUGGUGGCUCUACUGUCAUGGGAUCAUCUAAAUCUAAUUAUAUCCCAAGUGUACCCUCUCCUAAUAUCAACCCAUUGGGGGGUUAGGGUUUCAAUGUAUGAAUUUGGGAGGAUACAAAUAUGCAGUCUGUAACAAAUACCUGUUCCUGUAAGUUAUAUUUUCUUGGUCAUCUGAAUUGGAUUUGCAUUUUACUUUUGGCUUCUUCCAGUCUCUGCAGUUUCAAAUUCAUUUUUAGAUAAGUAGAAGGAUAUUUCUUUGCUGCCAUUUACAGUUUAAGCAAAACGAGAGAGAAACAAAAUGUUUUGACCACUUGUUAAAGUCCUGGGAUGAUUGAAUGAGUGCCCCUAUGACUCUCAAGGACUGUACUAAUCAUAUUGAAAUGUCUUUUAUUUUUAUAAAAAAGCAAAAGCAAACAGAAAACUUUAAGGUAAGAUGUCAUUAUUAGACCCAUGACUCCUGGUGUAACUCCAAACUAUAUUGAAAUUCUUCUUGGGUAUUGUCCUCUCCAUUGACAUUUCCCAGUAUUUAUUAAAUUUGCAUACCUUCAAAAAAAAAAAAAAAAAAGAAAAGAAAAUCAGCAGAGGGAUGUAGUACCCUAAUGGUUUUCAAAGGAUUCUUAAAAGUUAAGGAUUCCCUCUGUAAACCGUAUUAUGGUAUGUGUUAUAUACCAAGAAAGUAUAAAAAAAAAUGAAACUGACAUGAUAAUUGUAAUUAAUAGAAAGUAAAAAAUUAGUACUACCAAAAGAUGGACAUGCAAGCAGUGUCACUAAAGUCAAUUGGAAUGCAAAAAGUAAACAAAGUUUAAAAUGCCUAGCUUUUAAAAAAUACUUAUCCAUAGGCUCAUCAUUGUCAUCAUCAUCGCCAGCUAUUGUUAGCACUAGAAAUACUUGAAUUUUUAAAGCAGGAAGAAGCCAGUAAGGCAAGCCCUUUAUUAAUUAAGUCUAUUUGAGCUUUAUUUUGUUUAAUGAAACUGUAAGCUGAAACUGAAACUCUUACUUUUCCAUGUCUGCAACUGGCAAAGUUAAUUUUAUCCAUAUCCAUCUCAGAAAAAGCAUCUUUCUGUAUCAAAAUGCUUUCAGCUUGCAAGUAACAAAAGACUCAACUGAAAAUGACUUCCAAGUAAUAAGUACAUUUUAUUAUCUUAUAUAUCUAGAAGAUCUGGUUUUAUAGUUGUUUCAUGCAACAGCAAUCCUGGAUGAGUUGCCUUUUGUCCUCAGACUUCUCCCUUCCUGGUCUACAGAUGGCAGCUUGAGCUCUAAGAAUUUUACCUACAUAACAAAAUAAUCAAAGUUGUAAGAAAAGGGGGUAUCUCUUUUAUGUUUUUUUAAGAGUAAAGUAGAUUUUCUCAGAAGCCUUCUAGAAGACUUGAUUUCCCUAGCCAAAAUUGUGUCUCAUACGCCUCAAUUGCAUCUCAGGGGACUACAGGUCCUGGUUAGUUAAGACAAGUCAAAAUUCAUGGCCCUUGCCAGAGGGAACACAAUCAGGAUUCUGUUACUCUUUAAUUCCUCCCAAGGCCAAUUUAUUUUUGCCUGGGCUCUUAAUCCCUUUCAAUCUCUUGGAGGAUCCUACUCUGUUAAUCAUUCUUCUUGCCUGUAUUUUCAGUUUCUCUCUUCUCACUCUUUCUUAAUUCAAAUUUAUUGGAAGAAGAAUCUACAGAUACCAUCUCCAUUUUUCCCCUCCUGUUUUUUCCCUUAAAUUCCCUGCAGUUUGGAUUCUGCUCUUCCCAAUAAAAAGCCUCCUUUUUUUGUCAUUUUCAGUGACUGUCUGAUUGCCUAAUCCUUUUUCAUUUUCUUUACUUUUUCAUUGAUUUUCUUUCACUUUUGUCUUUUUGUUCUGUAUUUCACUUGUUUGUACUGUACUCUAUCAUUUUCUUCCUUCUGAUUGCUUAGGGUGAAUUUGUUCUUUUGCUACGUUUUCCUCUUCUUUAGAUAGAAGAUUAGGUUAUUAAUUUAAACCAUUCUUUUUUUUAAUAGCUGUUAUUUACCCUCUAUGCACUGUUUUAUUUAGCUAUAUCCUAUAAAUUUUGGUAUGUUGUUUUGGUUUUCAUUUUUUUUGCAACAUAUUUUUCCUACUUCCUUUAUAAAUUUCUUAUUUAAAAAAUUGGUUAUUUAGGAGUGUGUAUGUUCUAGAAGUCUCAGUCUAUAGAUUGCCAAUUCCAUUCCUCAGGGCCUGAGGCAAGGCAGGACAUCAGGGUGGAAAAGUGUGUUGGAGGAAAGUGACUCAGAAAAUUGCACUGAGAGGCAGAGAGAGAGAGUUCUGCUUAGAAAGGACAAAAUAUAAACUCCAAAGGCAUGCCUCUGGUGACCCACCUCCUCCAGCCACACCCUAUCUGCUUACAAUUACCACCAAGUUAAUCCCUAGCAGGCGAUUAAUACACUAAUUAGAUUAAACCUAUCAUAACACAAUCAUUUUACCUCUAAACUUUCUUACAUUGUCUCACACAUGAGCUUUUGGGGACAUCUAACCAUAACAGUACAUAUAUUUAAGAUAAGGUAAAAAUACUUCACAGGUUCUUAUUGAUACUGCAAUUUUGAGUUGAGACUAUACUGUGCUCAGAUCUUCCAUUUGUAUCUCUUUUCCUCUGCACUAAAAGGCUUUCAAGGACAUAAGUGAUUAUAGAAUUAGAAAAUCCAAUUAUUAUUCAUCCAUUUUUAUUCCAUAUUAUACAGGUGACAUAAUAUAGGAUAGUAAUAAUAUUGAGUGACAACACUAACACUAUUGAGAAUAUUAAAAUACAUAUUUUUGUAUAUACUCUAACCAUCUUACUAGUAUUUGGGGCUCUAGAUAUUUUCUGACCCUUUAUUUAGCAAUAUUCUAGAGGACCUUCACUGACUCCCUGCUGGAAGGAGGGUACAAAGAGGAGUAAAACACAUCCCUGUUCUCCAGAAGCUAAGUACGGGUCAGCGUGGUUGGUUUGUGUGGUAUCAUUCUGGUAUAGAAAGGUGUGGCCAUAGAAUCUGGGAUUCUUUUUUGCUUUAAAGUAAUGUUAAUGAUUUGACUGCAUGCUUCCUAAAGUGAAACCCUUUCUCUCAGGGUCUACUCCUAUCAGGAAUAGCUUCCUUUUGGUAGAGAUCUUCCAUAUGUGUAGUCUCCCUUUAUACUAUAUUAGUCAAGCAGGGUUCUUCAAAGAACCUGAACUAGUAAGGUAGAUGGAUGGAAUGAUGGAUGGAUGGAUGGAUGUGAGAGCAAGGGGGGAGAGAGGGAGAGUGUACGUAUUUUAAGGAACUGGUUCACAUGAUUAUGGGAGCUGACAAGUCUGAAAUUUGUAGGACAGGCCAGCGGACUAGAAACUCAGGCAAGAUUCGAAUGUUAAUAGUCUUGAGGCCAAGUUUCCUUAGGAAACAUCAGUCUUUUCUGAUAAGUCCUCCUUUUGAUUUAAUAAGACCCACCAUUUAUAGAGGGCAAUCUGCUUUAUUUAAAAUCAGUUGAGUAUAAAUGUUAAUCACAUCCACAGACUUCUCAUGCAACGCCUAAAUUAGUGUUAGACUACACAGCUGGACACCAUAACGUUAGCCAAGUUGACACAUAAAAUUAACCAUCACACCUGGGUUGAACAGUAAAUUUGUUGUCCAAAUUGAGAUUUGUUUUUUGAGAAUAGGGAGUUAUAAAUAAAUCUAUAUAAUUAUGUACAUAGAAUAUUUUAUAGUUACGUGAUUUUAUUCAUUGACAUUGUUUUUUUUUUCAUUGGUGAACCUAUAAAAUAGUCCUAUUAGGAAAAUUAUUCUAAAAAUAUUAACAUUUAUCUGUGUUCAUUAAAGCACAACAAAAACUGUUCUUUUGAGUUUCUCAACAUUAAAAAGAACAGUAAAUGUAAUAUAUAUUAUUUUGUAUCUUAGUCAUAAAUUGGGUAUUUACAUAUUUCUGAAAAAUGAAUUUUAAAAAUUAGCUGUAUUAUUUUUAAUUGCCUCAGAAAAUUGUGGUUUUUAUCAAAGUUGCAUUUUAUGGUUGCUAGUUUUUUUGGGGGAGGAGGGGGAUACCCAGUAUUGAACUUAGGGGCACUUGACCACUGAGCUACAUUCUCAGCCCGAUUUUGUAUUUGAUUUAGAGAUGGGGGUCUCAGUGAGUUGCUUGGUGCCUCACUUUUGCAGAGGCUGGCUUUGAACUCAUGAUCCUUCUAUCUCAGCCUCCCCAGCUGCUGGGGUUAUAGGUGUGUGCUACCGCACUUGGCAAAUUACGAAAUUUAAAAACAAUGAAAAAUUCUGUUGAUUUCUUUUAAACCGCUGCUAUUCUCUGUGAAUUAUGAUUUAAAAAUUUUAGAAUAGGAUCUCAAAUUAUAAAUACUAAGGUACCUGUCAAUUUCAAAGCAAAUUCUACUAAAUUGAGAUUAUUCUAAAAUUUUGAAGUUUUGAAAUAGUUUAACAUGUAAAUAUUCCAGCCCAUAUUAUUUAACAGAUAUUGCUCUAUUUAGAAGACAAAAUUUUUAGAAGACAAAGCUUGUUACAUAAAUUGUAUCUAUUUUAUAGGUCUUGAAAAAAUUUAUCAAAUUUACAUGCUGUUAAUUUUUAGGGAUUCAUUCUUAGGUUUAUUUCAUUUUGCCAUGCAUUAUAAAUAAGUUCUCUUUAAAUAUUACAUAUUGAAUUAAAAGAUUUUUUUCUUAUUUUGGCUGCUGUUAUAAAAUACCAUAAAUUGAGUGACUUAAAUAACAAGCAUUUAUUUCUCAUAGUUCUUGAGGCUGCGAAGUCUAAGACCAAGGUGCUGGCAGAUUCAUUGUUUGACAAGGGCCUGCUUCCUGGUUGCAGAACUGGUUUGAUCUUACAUCCUUAUAUGACCCUUCCUUUGUGUGUGCACUGAGCAAGAGGGAGGAAGGGAGAGACAGAGAAAGAUCUUGUCUCAUUAUUUUAUAAAGGCCUUAAUAUUAUCAUGAGGGUCCCAAUUACAUAACCUAAUCUAACUUUAAUCACCUCUCAGAUGCCAUACCUGGAAAUACUAUCACAUUAGGUAUUAGGACUUAAACGUAAGUGUUUUGCAGCAGGGACACAUAUUUUUAAUCCAUAGCUAUUUCCAACUGAGUUUGAACAAAAUGAAACCAGAUUUAGAAAGUGAUUGAAAAUCAUCAGUACUAUUGAUUUUGCCAAGUGGAUCAGCCUAACUUUGUAUCUCUUAGGAACAGUAGUUUGGUAUUCACUAAUUAAAUGUUCAUGGUAACAUUAUAAAACUUAACUAUUCUGAAUAAUGAGAACCAACUGUAAUUUUGUCUUUAUUGUUGAACUUUUAAACUGAAUUGAAAUAGCAAUUACAGCAAUAUCAGGUGUUUCAUGUUCUACAGGAUGAACAUCCAAAAGCUUUACUUUGAUUUCACAAAUUACAUGGGGCAAUCAAGCCAUUAUUGGAAUUAAUUGAUUUUUCAUUUGACACUGAUAGAAAGCUGAAAUCAUUAAAUUGAACUUCUUCUAUUAAUGAAGCCAAGAAAGUUAACAUGUAUCACUUUACCUUGACUGCGUAAAACAAUUUUGAAUUAGAACGGAGAUUUCUUAAAAAGUCAUUUGAUCUAGAUGAAAAGUCAUGCUUUAUAGAGUAAAAUAUAAAACACUUUCUCUGCCUGCUUUUAUUUCAUUGUGUUUGGGCAAGUCAUAAGCUGAGGCAGCAGCAUUGGGUAUUUUGGGUACUCUCUUUGAGAGUCAGGUGUCAGUUAUGAUACUUAUAAGAGGUAAGUUACUGCUAAGUGUCUUUCAGAUUUAGCUACAUGUUAAAUUGAUAAAUGGCUUCACUGCCUAUGCAUCUCAUACAUGAGUCUGAGCUCAUGCCAGAGCCUAAGUGAAAAUUACAAAUGUGUCCCAGUUUAUUUCAGUGGUAUCAUGAAAAAAUUUGUUGGAAAAUGAAAAAUCUAGGACAUAUGAUAAUUUGGUUGGGGCGCUGAGAUGGUGGCAUAAAUUAGGAUUGUCUCGGUGAAACUGACACACAUGGACACUUUACCUUUCAAAAAUCUCCUAACACCAAAUUCUUGAUUACUGUUUUCCCAUCAAAAAGGAUAUGCCCUCAAUAUGAUUCACUUGUUUAUGUCUGUUUAGUAAUUUCCACAGCAUUAUGCACUUAGAAAAGAAUGUGAAGCACUCUUAGUCAGUUUUAUUCAUUGUGUCAUUUCUUUUAUUUCUGGAACAUUUUCUAAUCAUCUUAAAACUUUUAUUAAAUUUUAUGUGCUUUCACUUUUAAAGUAAAGAUAAUAAUAAUAAAACAUGCACUUAUUUUCCUUGAAAUUAGUUUUUUGUUAUCUUAAUACAAAUACACAGUAAUUAAAAAUGAAAGUUGAAAAUUAAAAGAAAGUAAUUUUUAUAUAUAUUUGAUAAAACUGGAUUAUCUGAAUAUAUGAUUAUAAUACUACUUUAUAUUCUAUUACAGAAUUAAUUGAAAAGAUUUACUCUAUGACUAUAAGAGCCUUGGGAGAUAGGUAAGUGACAAGGCUCUUUUGAAGAGCUAUUUCUGAAACAUUAAGUCAUUUGAUCUCAUAGGUUCGUGGCAAAGGAGAUGGGCCAUCUCUAAGUGAUUUACUUCUUUUUCUCUUAAUACAUUAGUAGAAGUAUCAUGUUUACAUGAUUCUUCAUGUAAAUUUUCUCUAAUACCUAAUGAUCAAUCAUAUUUUCCAGGGAAUUUCAGUUUAUUUUUUAUAAUAACCAUAAUAAGAAUAGCAUUAAUAAGACAUUGAAGUGUACCAAAAGUUACUGCAGUUAAAAAAAAAAAAAAAAACAUUAAGUGCAAAGUACCUUGAGAUGCAUCUAGAAACUGAAAAAAAGUGUUAGUGGGAAAAUAGAUAAAAUCUAGUUUAGUUCAAAAUAACAAAUCAGUUUUAAUUUCUUAGUUUUAACAAAUGUUGCCAAGUUGUUAACUUUAGGGGAAAGUGGGUGAAGGGUGUACAGAAACUCUGUAGUGUGUUUGUGAAUCUAUUUUGUAAGUCUAAACUUAUUCCAAAAUAAGCUUAAGGCAAAAAAGCCAAAGUUUGUUGAUUUGAGAAUUAUAAUUUGGAAAUAGAUUUUCUGUGUAAUGGUUUGAAAAAAAAUCAAAAUUAUUCAUUACCUUUAAAAGUACAGACUCGGUGAAAUAGAGAUGGGGGGAAAAUGUAAUCAUAGGAAUUGUGGAAUUUCAUUUUUUGAACAUUGGCAUGCUGUUCAUGAACUUGUCCUAGUACUUAGUUAUAGGCAUUCUCUUUGAUUCCUUUAAGACAUUUGUAUAUUCUUUGAUCAUUUUCUGUAGCAUUUUCUUUUAAUACAAGCAGGCCCUUUAAAUGGUUCUCAGUAUGCUGCCCACCCCUCUCUUUGUUAGUGUACUAGAGACAAAAUGUCAAUGAUGUGACUCAGUGGUUUGGAAUUAAGACCUUGUUAAGUAUAGUUUUGUUCAGUUGUACCUACUUGAGCUUCUAGGUCAAGUUCUAGACAUAGUUGACCUAUUGUUAAUGAGUAUGAAUAAAGAUGAGCAUAACUUAAAUAGCCUUUCUGUAAUUGAGCUAAAAUAAUUUAGAAUCGAUUGCUGCCAGAUAAUAGAAAUUCUGUUUCCAAAAUGGACUUUAUCAUGAAAACUCUUAAAUUUCUAUAAAUAUUAAAAGAUAGAAUGAAACUCUGUAGUUCACUGAAACUGUUAUGUAACUUCUCAUUAAUAAAAUAACCAUGCUAGUCUUAUGAAUGGUUUCCUGCUUCUGUUGCCAGCUUCAGUAAUUUUAGUUAAAAUUCAUAAAGGGAAAUAGAAAUAUAUUACAAUUAAGGAUAUAGACAUUUAAAACAAUAGACCCAGGCCUGAAUGAUUCUUACAGGCUUGGAGAUUUCUGUUUUGUUUAAUAAUCUUUAUUCAGAAUUGGUAUUAUUAAUCUUAUGUUAAUAGAAUUUACAACUCUACUUUUUUAUUGUAUAGCAUUAUUGUUCCAACUUUCAUAGGGAAGGAAAAAAGGAUAAUUUUUUUUCAGACCAAGUUUGAAAUCUGUUGAUCAUAUAAUAUGUCACUCAAAACAAAAUGAAAUCAAAUGAAACUUUUAUUAUUCUGUACUAUAAGAGCAUUAAAAGUGCUGUUUUUAAGGACAUGCUUAACAUUUAGCUGGUUGUUAUUUUGUGGUCAUAAAAGUGAGAAUAAAAGAGAAUAGCUAUUAUAUAUUGUGCAAUUACAAAUAAGGCUUUUUACUUUUAUUUAAUAUUCAGUAAACCUGAGAGGUAAAUUGGAAUUCCCUUUAUAAAUGAGGCUGGGAGAGUAACAGGUAUCUGUAUGCUAUCCCUGAGACUAUGGGGCAAAAAGAACAAGAUCCCUUUGUUUGUAGUCCCCGUAACUUGGUUCACGUUUUUAGCAGCUUCCAGGAAAUGCUGACACAUUUUCAUGAACAUAUAGUAAACUUCAGAUUACUUCUACUUUUUCUGGGAAAGAGUACUAGAUAACACUGGGUGACCUAGAACAGAUUCUCUGGAGAGACCAGCCUGCAUAAUAAGUUCUCCUGUUUCUUGUUCUACCCUUGAUAUGGCAGAACCCUAACAUGCCAGCUGUUUUCUAUUACCUAAUUAACCUGUUAACCUGAUAAAUUACAGAACACUCACUUUUUGUGGGCUUCUUUGAUCAUAUGCCAGGAAUUUUUGGCAGCUCUGGGGAACAUGCUCACAACAUGCAUUUGGUCAGUUAGGUAAUGAAGUUCUUAGUUGGCAUGGGAACUUGGAUUCAGAAACUAGGACAGUUGCCAGAGAUGGAGUCCUUGUGCAUAUGACAGGUGAAAUUCAGCUUUUCAGACUCAGUCAGUUGGUCAGGAGUUAGAAAUUGAGUUGGUUUGUUAAACAGUUUUGUCAGUCCCCUUUUCAGAUCACCUCAGUGGCUACUCACCAGACUCAAGAUAAAACCCCAAGUCUAAUGUUUCUCCAAAUUCUGUUUCGCUUACUCUGCUUUACCCAUACUUGCCUCCUUGCAACUCCUUCGAUACUCCAAAUCUAUUUAUAAUCGACUCAUUUCACCUCCUUCUCUAUGCUAAACCCUCUCUCUAGUUAGCUUAGCCUGUAACUUGGUACCAAUGGUGAUAAACUUUUUUUUUUUGGAUACUGGGGAUUGAACCCAGGGCCCUUAACCACUGAGCCACAUCCCCAUCCCUUUUACAUAUUUUCUUUAGAAAUAGGGUUUUUACUUAGUGCUUAGGGCCUUGCUAAGUUGUUGAGGCUGGCUUUGAACUCACAAUCCUCCUGCCUCAGCCUCCCGAGCUGCUGGGAUUAUAGGCAUGUGCCACUACUCCUGGCUAAUGGAGAUAAGAGAGAAGAGCUCACAUUUAGAAUUGUCUAGCAAUGUAGUAGUAGACGUCUCACUAGAAAUUUUAUAGUUUCUGUCAUUUGAAUUGCUUUCAAGUAUAACAGGGAGUAGAGUUUUAAAGUUAUAGAAAGAGGGGCUGGAGUUGUGGCUCAGUGGUAGAGCACUUGCCUAACAUGUGUUAGGCACUUGGUUUGGUGCUCAACAUCGCAUAUAAAUAAGUUAAUUAAAUAAAGGUCCAUCAACAGCUAAACAAAAAUUUUAAAAAAUUAAGGUUAUAGAAAGACAUAGCUGGAAACAAAGGGAAAGAGUUACAGGGAUUUAGACUCAGUAUAAGUAGCACUAUAAUGAGUAACUUGGCAACAGUUACAUCUGCAUGAAAACAGCUUGAGCUACUUUAUCAAAAGGUGAAUUCUCCAUCACUUACAGCAUAUAAUGGAGGCUGAUCUCCCUCUUGCAGAGAUGUUGUUGAGGAAAUAUGUGUUGAGUAGAGUGGGGAGAGUUCAUUUCUAAGAUUUUCCCAAGUCAGAGAUUAUAUUAAUUUUUAGAAUCCUCUUUUUUUUCCAGAAGCAGUUCUUCUCACAGUCCUCAGAUUCUUUCUCUCAUAUUUGUAUUGGGAAACUUUCUCCACACAAGUAAACAUCACUUUUAGGUUAUAGUUGUCAGUAGUUGAAAGGAAGAAUAGUUGCUUUCAAUGUUGAUUUCUGGUCUGAUUGGCCAAAUGCUCUUCCAAAAAUUUUUCUUUGAGACUUUUUCACUAUUUUGAUUGACCUUUUGUCUAGGUAAAUAAGCAUACAUAAAUUCUUAUUAGAUUUUAGUUGCUAAACAAAAUUUGCCAAGUCUAAGAAUAAAAGAACAUGCUAUUUGGAAAUAGCGUUUGGUUAUAGUUUGCUAAAAGUGGAAAAUGCACCUCAUCUCUACCCUUAUUCUAGAAACUCCUUGAGAAGUAGCGACUGUGUUUUGAGGAUUUUAUUUGAGGGUUAGGCAGUCUCUUCCCUUUUCUUCAAAGAGGGAAAAAUAUGACUUAAGUAAUGGAGAACAUUAAGUUGCAAGCAUUUUUAGUUAGACCUGAGUAAGGUAAUGGCCUGAUAUGCAAAUUCAGAUUUCUUAUAACUGCUGAAUUGAAGUACUUGGAAUUAAUAAUACAGGAAAGAAUGAUUUUCAGGGCCUUAAAGUAUUUAAUAUUUGAUGAAUUCUGGAAGCUAGCACCUCGGUGAUAGAAUAAUGUUUAAAAACUAUCUCUGGCCUGGCACAACUUCCUUUAGCAUCUGGGCCUCUCCACACCUGGCCCCAAGGUGUGUUUUGGCAUACCAGUAGAGUUCUGAUGAAUGAAAAUAGAGUUCUGAUGAAUAUACUGUUUCUGACUCUCCAAGAAAGGCCUGAAUUCCUUAAUUUAUUUGAAUCUCUUCCGGAUUCUAUAUCUUCUCUGGGUUUCCUGCCCCUUUUCCAUUAUAGCGCUCUCUCUCUGUCCUUUAGAUUCAACUCUGCUUUUUUCCUAAUAAUUAUCUUGACUUCACCCAAACAGAAUUGUUAUUCUGACUCAACACAUGUAGUUUGGAUUAUCUCCUCUAUUGAUAUUCUUGUCUUGACUUGAGCCAGGAUCCUAGUAGGAGGAGAGAGAGAUUAUAAAGAUAGUAUGAGCAUUGCACUUUCAUGGUUCUUGAUCUCUUGCUCCAAUGCAAAUUGAGUUUAAUUUUUUCACUUGACCAUAGCAAAAGGCUAAAAUAUGCACCCAUCUCUUAAAACCAGUAAUGAAGCAAUAAAUGAAGAACAAGAAGAAAUUCUUGAAAUGUUUUAAUGUCUUAAAAAUCUCUCUGUCAUUCAGGUACUUGGUACACAUAUAAGCAGGGAUGAAAUGAAAGAGGUUUUAACCUACAUACAAUUAUGUUCAUAAGUUCAGAUUUUUUUUUUUUUGUACCAGGGAUUAAACUCAGGGGCACUUGACCAGCCCUGUUUUGUAUUUUAUUAGAGACAGGGUUUCACUGAGUUGCUUAGCACCUCGCUUUUACUGAAGCUGGCUUUGAACUCGUGAUCCUCCUGCCUCAGCCUCCCGAUCCACUGAAAUGGUAGGAAUAAACUGGUAGGAAGUCAAAUCCAUUAAUAUAUAGAAAGUGGGUUUAUUACAGGAAUGCAGGGUUGUUUUAACAUUGAAAAUCACCAACAUAAUUUAUUAUUUUAACAGAAAAAAGGAAAAAAAAUAUAUGAUCCUGUCAAUAGUUAUAGAAAACUCAUUAAAUUCUUUGGUCACUUAUGAUAAAAACUAUCAGGAGACUAGACAUAGAGUGGAACUUUCUCAAGAAAGAGAUAUACACCAAAUUUCUAGUCAAAAUUUCAUUUAAUGGCCAUUUAAUUCAAUUCCUUAAGGUGAGGAAAAAUCCAAGUAGGCCCACUCUACCUGCAUUCUUCUAUUUUUGAAAUGGAGGCCCAGACUAGUUUAGUGAGGCAUUAGGUUAGGGUUAGGGUUAGGGUUAGAAGCAGGUGGCCAUAUAUAUUGAUAAGGAGUAAGUAAAAUGUUCUUUAUUUGCAAAUGACAUUUCUUGUACAAAGAAAAUGCUAAGAAAUCUCCAGAAGCAAACUAGAAUUUAUAUUAGAAUUUAUCAAAGAUUGCAGGACACAAAGUAUAUUUACAAAAUUAGGUGUACAUGUACUCCCUACCAAUGAACAAUUGGAAAUUGAAUUAUAAUUUAUAUGGACAUAAAAAGACUCUAGAGGAGUAAGCAAAAAUAAAAAUUAUAGUAUUACAGAACAUUCACUACCUAAUUUGAAGAUUUUCUUUGAAACUAUAGUGAUCAAGGCAGUAUUGGCCUAAGGAUAGACAUAGACCAAUGGAAUAGAGAUUCUAGAAACAAAUCCAGGCAUCUAUAGUCCAUUGAUUUUCAAAAGUCAUGCCAAGGAAAUUCAAUGAGGAAAAGGUAGUCUUUUCAGUAAAUGGUACUGGAAUGCCUGGAUAGCCAUGUGGAAAGGUUAACAUAGUCCUUACUUCUGUACACAGAAAUAACUUGAAAGAAAUCAUGGACCUAAAUAGAAAAGAUUAAAACUGUAAAACUUGAAGAAGAAAUCACAGAAGAAAAUAUUCAAAAACUUGGAGUAGGUAAAGAUUUCUAAAGAUAAAAAUGCAUGAGCCAUAAAAGAUUAAAAGUUGAUAGAUGUGACUCCAUCAAAAUUCAAAACAUAUUCUUCAAUGGAUUUAAAAAAAAUGUAAAGUCAGACUGGGGUUGUAGUUCAGUGGUAGAGCACUCGUGUCACAUGUGUGAGGCACUGGGUUUGAUCCUCAGUACUACAUAAAAAUAAAUAAAUAAAAAUAAAGAUAUAAAAAUACAUUAUAAAGGCAAUUCCUUGCAUUUCACAAUACAUGUACUUGACAAAUGCUCUGUGACCAGAACACAUAAAGAACUCUUAUAGCUCAUUAAUGAGGCAAUCUUAUUUAAAGAAUAGGCAGAAAAGGAUUAUAAAUAGCUAGUACAGUACCGGAAAAGGUGUUUAACAUCAUUUGAUUUUCAGCAAAAUACAAAUCAGUAAAAUAAUAAGAUAAUGUUAUAUACUCGCUAGAAUAGCUAAAAUUAAAAAUUUAAAACAAGCAGUACCAGUGGCUGAGAUGUGGUCCAAUCAGAACUUUCACAUAUUGCCAAUGGGAAUGUAAAAUGUUGAAACCUUUUUGGAAAACAGUAGUUUCUUAUAUUACCAUAAGACCCAACAAUUCUCUUAAAUAUUUACCUAACAAAAAUUAAAAGAUAUGUUCACAUAUAGACUUGUACAUGAAUGCUUAUAUAAGUAGAUUAUUGCUUAUCAGAAAUACUUGGGACCAGAAGUAUUUCAGAUUUUUUAAGUUGAUAUAUUUUCAUAGUCUUUACCAGUUGAGCAUCGCUAAUCUAAAAAUCCAGAAUCUGAAAUGCUCCAAAAUCUAAGACUUUUUGCACAUUAUAUUGGCAUUCAACACAUUUUGGAUUUUGGAGCAUUUCACAUUUUAGAAUUUUGGUUUAGGGAUGCUCAGCCUGUAGCAGCUUUAUUUAAGAGCCUCAAACUGGAAACCGAUAUCCAUCAAGUAAUAACUGAAAAAACAUUGUGGUAUGUUCAUGUGGUGGAAUACUAUUCAAUAGAAAAGGGGGUAAAGUACUGACGUGCACAAAUAAUAUGUAUGUAUUCAGAUACAUGAUGCUAAUAGACCAGACACAAAAGAAUACAAACUCUGUGAUUCCAUUUACUGCACAGAUUAGUACAUCCGAAAUUCUGGAAAAGACAUUUAAUCUAUGGUGACAAAUAUAGACAGGUUGCCUACAGCUUAGGGUGGGUUGUGAUGAACCUGUAUGCAGUGUAAGGAACUGUUUGGGAUGAUAUGUAAGUUCUGUAUCUUUAUUAUGGCAGUGAUAAUAUGAGUGUAUAAAUUUGUCUAAAGCCAUUGAAAAGUAUACUUAGCGUUUGUGUGUGUGGGUGCGCUUAUGCAUUACUAUUUGUGAAUUAUGCCCUAGUAACAUUGUUUAAAAAAAAUUCCUGGUUCUCAAAUUUCAAAAGUUAUUUUGCUAGCAAAAGAUUAACUUCUGUCUAAUGUUAGAAGACAUUUUGUAAGGACUGAAACUUAGUUGACCUGAAAAAAUCAUUUGGAUGGAUCAGUGUGAAUAUAAACGAUACAUUGAAUUAAAUAUCCUUAAAUAUGGAGAAAGUCGAUAAAUUUCCACAUACCUUCUAGCCAGUGUAUUGGAAUAGGACCCAGGCAUCUUCAGAAUGUAUUGGUGUUCUUUUCUAUUUUCUUAGAUUGAUAUAUUUUAGUACCAUUGGCACUGAGAAACAUCUAGCUAACAUUGCAAAUAAUCUGUUCUUGGUUUUAUUGUAAUUUUCCUGAUUAAUAAGUUGAAUUUUAUUUUUUUUUUUUAGCUUGAAAGCAUGUGUGGAAAGGGCAACAGUGUUCCUUAGAAUUUAUUCUUUCUUUUAGAAACAGAAUCCCUAGAUUUAGCAUAUUGUGUAGCUACCCAUCUAGAUCCUAUGCUUUUCAGCUUCUCUUGGAGCAGGGGUGGAUGUGUGACAAAUAAGAAGUGAAUGAUAAUGUGAGUAGGGUCACCUCCUUAAACACAUACCUGCCUUCUUUUUUUUUUUUUUUUUCCCUACUGGCUGGGAUGUUAUACCAGUUAUAACAGCCAUCUUAGAUAUGGAGCUGGAAAUCAUAUGGAGGAUGGAAGAGCCAGUGGUGGAUUCUUAAGUGAUCUUGUGAUGCAUACCUUUCCCUGGCACCCUUUGUUGUUACACAAAAAGGAAAAAUACCUGUCUUACUUGAGCUAUUGUUCUUUUUAUUCUCCUUGUGUGGCAGAAAGUUUCUACAUUAAUAAAAAAAUGGAAAGCAUUUAAAUUUUUAAAGUCUUUAUAUACAAAAAAUAUAUAUUGUUGUUAAAAUAAUUUUUAAAAUAGAAUGUGAUUGUAUACCAAGAGUUUCUUCUUGAUGCCAUAGGCUAUUUCCCAGAUUAUGAAGUUACAAUUAAACUUUUGUUACUAGUUAUUAAUAAAUUUUAUUAAUUUUCUCAUAAUUUUAUGGUUGUCUUUAUGGGAUAUUUUAUGAUCAGUUUUGGUGAAGUUAUACAGAUUUUUUUGCUUGUUUUAUUUUUUAUUCUAAUUUGUUAUAUAACAGCAGAAUGUAUUACAAUUCACAUUACACUUAUAGAGCACAAUGUUUCAUAUCUCUGGUUGUAUACAAAGUAUAUUCACACCAUUCGUGUCUUCAUACAAGUACUUAGAGUAAUGAUGUUCAUUUCAUUCCCACCAUCUUUUCUACCCUCAUACCCCUUCCCUUCCCCUCCCACUCCUCUAGCCUAUCUGGAGUUCAUCUAAUCCUCCCAUGCUCCCCCCUCCCAUCCCCACUAUGAAUCAGCCUACUUAUAUCAGAGAAGACAUUCGGCAUUUGGUAUUUUGAGAUUGGCUAACUUCACUUAGCAUUAUAUUCUCCAACUCCAUCCAUUUACCUGCAAAUUUGUUUUGUUUUAAAGUUGUAUUUCAAGAAGCUAAAUAUGUUGCUCAACUUUUCUUUUUAAAAAAAAUAUUUAUUUUUUAGUUGUACACAAUACCUUAAUUUUGUUUACUUAUUUUUAUGUGGUGCUGAGGAUCGAACCCAGGGCCUUGCACAUGCUAGGCGAGUGUUCUACCACUGAGCCACAACCCCAGCCCUGUUGCUCAACUUUUCUAUAAUUAUUUUUUGUCUGAGCAAGGGUUUAAAAUUAUUUAUCAGUGAUUUCUUUCAUUAAUUUUUUUAUAUUUGUCAGCUUUUAGUUUAAUGUGUAUUUUACUGUAAUUUAUUGCCAGUAUCUCAAUUGAGAAUCAUACCUUUUAUCUGAAUGAGAUAACUUUCUUCCUGAUUUGUAACUUGUGCUUUGGAUUUUGUUUAGGUUGAUAUUGAUACUGCCACCUUUGUUUAUAUUUCCCAUUAAUUAUUUGUGCUUGUGAUUAUAUUUGUGAUUUCAUUUCUUUUACAUGUGUUUCCUAAAAGUGUAGGAUAGUUGAAUUUCAUUUUUAUAACCUUCUGAGAACCUUUGUCUUUUAACAGCUAUUUAAUGUGUGGGUUUUUUUUUUGUCAAAAUUGAUUCCAUUGGUUUUAUUUCAUUGAUAUUGUUUUAAGUCCUUCCUUGUUUGUGUUGUAUUUUGAGUUUUUUGCUGUUUGAUAUAAAGUUUUGUCUUUGUUUAAUUUAGUUUUGAGUUUUGAAAUGUAACCUGCUUUGAAAUCUCCUAGGAAUUAUUUAAAUUUUUUUUAAACUUUAAACUUUUUAAAAGUCUGUAUAAUACUUAAAUUCAUUUUAGAUCAAGAAUCAGAUAGUAUCUUGAUGUUCCUGGUCUAAUGGGCAUAUUUAAGUUUUACUUAUCUGCUUCUCAGUUUUCAUUAAUAUUAUCUGAGGCUUUAUCUUAGAUUAUUACUAAAUUGCUACUUAAAUAAUUUGUAAUAUUUUUCAUUAGCUUUUAUAUGGGCAUAAAGAUUAGGAAAACCCUAAGAUUGUCACAACUUUAAAUAAAUUGCCACUUUUUCCAGUUAUAUAUCAAAAUGAGCCUUUAGAAAGUCAUUAAAAAUGUACUCUUUUUAGUAUUCCUCAUUAUUUUCUUGAUCUAUUCCCAUUUAUCUUCAAAAGAUAACUAUUUUCUUUUCCUUAUUACCUACUUUCAGGCCAUUUCUUUGCCCAUUAGACCAGGAGAAAGAAGUAGAAAAAGUCAGAUUUAAAAUUAAAAUAUCAAAUUUUGCAUUUGAUAAUUUCUAUAUCGAAGUAUAAGAAAUUAUCAUCCCAAAUUAUCAUUUGGGAUUAUUGUAUUAAUGGAUUUUAUUGUAGUGGAUUUUAUGGGAAACAUUGCCGGUUUAAUUUAGUCAAUUUGUAAGCUUGUUUUCUAAGAUAUCCCUAUCAAUUGCUCUAUCAGGUUACAGGGUCUGACAUUUAGAUUCUUAAUAUUAUUCAAGAUAGAAGUUAUCUUCCUGCUGCUUUGAGUCUCUGAUAUAGACCUCUACAAGUGGGUAUCAGCUUCAUUCUCUCUUUAUAUUAAAGGUGCUCUAGUUGGACUUUACCAGUUUUUUCAGAACUUAUUUGAGGAACAUUUGGGAGAACAGGGUCUUAGUGGCCAUGCAGGCUUUUUUGGGAAACAUUGAGGAAUGGGAAACAUUACCCCUAGCAGUUGCUAGGGGUAAUAUCUUUAAAAAAAACAAUGCUGUUGCUAAGUUAUUUUUAGAGAUGGAAGUCUUUUCUUUCUCAGAAAAUUCUAACAGUAAUUAUGUAGCUAAACUACCAAGAUGUAGGGAGUGAGGCAAAGCAAAGAACAAGCCUCUCCAGGUUUGCCAGGUUGGAGUGAGGUUUUUGGCAACAGAUUCCUUUUGGUUGUGAUAUUUUGAAAAGCCAUGAUUACAGUGGUGGGAAGACCUUUAUUCUAACUUUGGUUCUGAUUUUCUUUGUGAUCAUGGCAAGCCAUUCAACUUUUCUGGAUCUCAGGCUAGAUCUAUUAAAUGAAAAAUCUGACUGUCUAAGAUUCUAACUUAGUAAUUCAGUGACUGACCAGGGCAAUAGAGAUAGCAAAGAGGUGUCCACUUGACAGCAUUUUUAUUUUAAAUUUUCUUAAGCAAAGGAGUCAGCUUAAUUUCAUCUUAUGAAGUCAAGAGGAAUAAAUCAUCUCUCUCUCUACUUUGAAUAAGAGAAUUAGAAGGAUCAUGUGUGACUCCUAUGUUUAUGUUCUGACCUAAUAUUAGGUAAGUGACACAUGUUGAUAGUCUCAAUUGUAAUAUCUGGAAGUCAUCUGACUUUUAAUUUAAAAUCUGACUUUUUCUACUUCUUUCUCCUGGUCUAAUGACUUUAUUAAGAAUGACUCAGAGGAAUGUUAACUCACCAAUUUUUUCCAUGAGAAAGAUAUUUCUUUAGACUACCAGAAAGUUGUCACCUUUUCCACUGGGAUAUAGGUUUAUAUCUCCAGAUUGAGGAUAUUGAGAGGUGGGCUCAGACUGUAGUCACACUGAACAUUUUUCAUUGACAAGCUCCUGAGUGGUGAAAAGGCUUAUCACAUUGAAGUUGUGUUUCACAAGAAGAGCAAUGGGAUGCUGCCUGAGCUUAUUUCUUGUGGUAAGUUGAACUGAGCAUGGUCACAUGCAGGGUAGGCAGAAAGAGUUUUCAAAUAAUGAACAUGUCACAGUUUGAAAGAGCUGAGAAACAGUGCUGACUGAGAAAAAUCUGUACAGCAGUCCAAGGGUGACUUAAAAAAAAAAAAAAGUCUUUGUUCUAGCCAAAUUCUGGAGGGAAAGCCACCAACAGAAGCCUGUCAAGAGCAGCACAGAAAAGCCUGCACGGUUGGCAUUGAAUGCUUCUCUUCUCUCUAGUCAUCACAUUGAGAACUCAAAGGUGGUUGGAAAAUUUUAUUUCUCUAUCAAGAGAGGGUAAAAAAAAAUCAGAAAUGUGUUUUGUUUUAGUACAUAAAGAGAAGUCACAAAUAAAUGCAAAUAAAAUUCAAAACAAAUUAGAAACUUGGAUAAAAACAUAUAUAAUAGGCUUAUAAGUGCCUGCAUACAUUUGGGAGGACCUGCUAGGAAUGUAGAUAUGAACAGUCAGUAGCAUUUUUUAGGAACUUAACUUGAGUAAAGGAGACAGAUAUAGAGCAAGUAUUUAUUUUGUUUUAUUCAGUUUUUAUAGAGCAUCUACUUUAUGUAAGACACUGUACUAGAUGAAGGAACUGCAAGGUAAGGUUUCUCUAUCUUUUGAAUUUUCAUGGCAUUUAUACUCCAGAGGGAGGUGAGUAAACAAAAAAGUAACUGGAAUAUCCAGGUACAUGAAGGCAUGCAGGAGAGAAUAAAUUGAAUGUAUGGGAAAGAAUGAUGCAGGUGACUUUAAAUGUUUUUGUAGAACUCAGCAGCCUCGAGAUUUCUAUACCUUCAGACUUCCAGCAUCCUUAAGAUUCCUGAAGCCUACUUUGUAGAACUAUGGGAGUCAACAACUAGAGGAACCAUUGUUGUAUGUUUUUGCAGGUAUAUCUGCUUAAUAUUUGAGUGUGUGUGUUUGUGUGUGUGUGUGCGCGCGCGCAUGCGCGCGCGCUGCGGAUUGAACCCAGGGCUUUGUUCAUGCAACGCAAGCACUCUUACCAACUGAGCUAUAUAGCUGCUUAGUAUUAAUGGGUCUGUUGGAACAUAGCAGCUGGAAAAAAAAAUUUUUUGUUGAUACAUGUGCUUUUCAUUUUCUCAAAAUAAAACUGAUGAUAAUGAUGAAGAGGAAGAAGAUGAUGAUGGAUUGAAUUGUCCUGUGCUAGCCACAAAUUAUACCUAGAAACUUUUACUUGAAGUUAUAGGAAGAUAUAAUUUGAUCAAUUAUAAUUUCUCAUUAAUUUACAGGAAAGAUUUUUCUUGAAUUUUAAUUAUAUCUAAAAGAGAUUGUACUACUUCCCACAGCCACUGAAUUUUUCAUAGCUGUUUAAGUCAGGGCGUUUCCUAUUCAACUCAGUGUCCCAUUGUUGAAGUAGGAGGCAGUGUUUUCUAGUUCUCAUCCAUUGGAAUAUUGAUGUCUUUUUAUAACACUAAAAGGCUUUAAUUUGUAAGCUGAAUUUGGGCUAUGCAUAGAGCACAUACAUGGCUUACCUCCAUACCUGAGCCAUAAGAAGCCCACUAUUUGCUGCUCUUAGGGAGUUAAUAAGAGCUUUUGUAACCUGGUUUGCCCAUGCUGUAUGGCUAAAAUCUAGAUGAACUGAAGGGAAAAAAGGAAUGAGAUUUAUAAAAAAAAAAAAAAGAAGAAGAAGUAGUCAGCAAUGGCUGUGAACUGAAGGAACAUUAGAAUUUUAAAAACCAUCAUAUGGUACAGACCGGAACAAGAAGUUAGGAAAAGUCUAGGAGGAGAGGUUUUUAAUUACAGCAACCCUCAAGACAUUUGAAAUAGUUAUGAUGAUUUUUAAAACCAACAGGGAUUCAACUUUUUGUGUGUGGUUUACUAAAUGUAUACAUACAAGAUUUAAAGGGAAAAGGUAAUCUUUUUAUGUAAAAAUGUUUUGAUUUAUGGUUUCCUGGACUUCGAAAGCCUCUUUGUGCCUUGGUUGAAUACAUUCAGUGGUUUUUAAAACUUAAUAGAAUUAUGAAGAAGGGGUUCUUUUUGGCACAAGCAGGUAUUUUUAAUAUAGCAAUUAGGAAUGUCAUUAGGAAGAUUAUUAAAAGCAAUGUGCUUGAGUGGAAUUACUAAAUAAAGAAAAUGAAAUUUUAGAAAUUUUAACUACAAAUAAAAGUAGAUCUCUUCGUGUAAUACCAAAUUAACAAUAGAAUUUAAACUUUCUAAGAUAAUACUUUAUGUAUAUGUUUUCUUUUUUUAAAAUUAUUUACAAAGGGAUACAUGCAUAUUUUCCUUUUUUUGAAAAGGAAAGCCUUGUAGAUCAGACUAAAGUUUCCUUUGACUACCACACUCUCCCAUCUUCCAAGGGAUAAUCAUUUUGCCAUUUAUUCUUACAAAUCAUUAAAAUAUUUAUGUGGUAACUCACACGCAUUCAUAUAACAAAUUUAGGUUUUGCAAAGAUGUCUUAAAAACACCACAGAAUAUAUUGAUUGUUGGUUCAUUUUAAAUAUGGUUUCCACUGUGUGUUUUGUUUUUACUGCUUCUUAAGUAUUACCAAUAGUAGCUGACAUUUUUUUUUUUGAGUAGGUCCCAUGUGCAAGGCAGGAUACUUGGUAUUUUUCAUGUAAUUUAGUCUCAUAAUCUUCAUAAUAACCUUAAGAGGUGAGUAGAAUAUUGGUUUUAUAUGAAUAAAACCCCAUCUUCUUUGCACUUUCCAUUUACAUUAAAUUACUGAUAACCAGUAGUCUGGCAUUCUUUGAUAACACUUCAAUGAUUUUUUAAAUUGGUAAGAAGGAAACUCUUAGUUCUGUUAAUUUUGUUAUUCUGUGUAGCCAACUAUUACCAAGUCCCUGGAGGCAGGUAUUUCCUGGUUGGCCAGAAGGCUCGAGUAUGAGGGUGACUCCUGCUCACCUUUUAGGAAUGAGGAGGUAGUAUGUGUCAUAUUUGACACAUUCUAUAUGAGGAACUGACAAGCCCAGACAUUUCCUCACUUGUUAAUGGUUUUAAAAGCCCAUGCUUGUGAUAAUGUCCUUAUUUUGAGGACAGUAAUAGGAUAUACGACCUAGUUUGAAGGAGGCUUGACUUUAAAAGAUGCCUUUUGCUGUGGCCUUAGUCACUGGUAGGAGGAAAUUUAGGCUGCUGAAAUGGGUACUCAGAAUUUUUAUGAGAAUUGGUGUGAAAGGGAGUCGUGUUGGGUGUGUUGAGAGAAAAAAAUCGUGCUUAUUAUAUAUACCCUGUUUUGAAGUUUGGAUGAGGAUAAUUUCAACAUUGCAUGAUGAAGUUAAAAAAUUUCUAGUGAUUGGAAUAACUGUCAGAAAAGUUUAAAUCUCAGCUUGGCUGCCUAAGUAGCAGUAGACCUUGAAAAAACCUCUUUAUACUGUUUUAAUCAAAUGAUAAUAAUAAUAUCCACUCAUAUAGUGCUGGGAUUUAAAUUACAUAAAGUAUUUUCUACAUUGCUAAGCACUGGACAAAUGUACCAAUGUUAGCUAGUAUUCUUACUAUUUUCAUCGUCAAGGGUUGUCAAGGUCUACUACAAUUGACGUCUUUUACUAAUGUCUCUUUAGUAAAGACUUAACCUGCUCAUUUUUGUCCUUGUAUUACUUAAAAGAGAUUAACCAUAUUGGGGUUCUGUUAUUUUCAGAAUAGAGGGACUCUGUUGCUGAGUAAUUUAACAGAAAUAUAUCAAUCAGCAUUUAUUCUGGCAGAAUACUAGAAAAGAUCACUUAAAGUAACUCUCCAAAAAAGACACUUAAAAGUCACUCUCCAAAAAAGUAUAUGCUGAAGAUUCCAGUAAAUAACAUCUCACUAUCAGCACUACAUUAGUGUUCAUAGGCACUUUUGGUCUUUUUUUGUCUUCCAUAUUUUAAAAAAUAUUAAUGUCUAUCCAUUUACUAAAACAUUUGUCAGUAAAUUUUGCUAUAGAUUUUGUUGGUUAAGUAGAACUCUUAAAACCAAGCUAAUUUUCUGGCUUUGGUUCCUUUUUGGUCGUAAUUCUUAAUUUAUUUUGAAAUCUUGAAUAGCAUUCAAGAAGGACAUGAGGUUUUUAUGUUUAAUAGAACAGCACAUGAGUUAAAAAUAGUUAAGCUUCCAUUUCCAGAGUAUGCGCUCAUUUCCAGAUGAAAAGACUGAGCUCCAUGGCAUUUGCAUUUGCUGUACUUUGUGGUUCACAUUCUAAUGGGGAAAUUGAAGCCCCAAUCAGAAGUCUGGCAUAUUUAGGUUUGGUUAUUGUUUUCCUCACUUUCAUUCUGCUAAUGUUUUCCUAAUACAAGUGUUGCAGUAAUUCGGAAUCUGUGAAAAGAAUGACUACCUUUAAAACAUGUUAUACUCCUGAGACUACAUUCUCUGAGUCAGUAUAGAGACUUAAACAUCAGUUGUUUAAGGCAACUAACAUGCCAACAAAUUAAAUCUCAUUUGCUGUUUUUAGGAAUGUGCCAUUUAUUAUAUGUAGGCUAUUCCUUGAAGGAGACUGUAUCCUUCAGAAGAAGUACUUUUCUGGAGGGAAAAAAAAAUCUUUUGGGUUUUUUGUUCCUUCUUCUGUAAAAUUCUGAAAUGCUAACCCUUUUGACAUUUAUUGGUGAUUUACAUUGCCAUUUCUGCAUUCACUUUCUUUUUGUUGUUUUUUUAAACUACUCUUUGUGGCAAACCAUCUCUAUCCUAAAGUUAUACCAAUGGAAGAAAUUAAAUCUUGUUUCAGAGAGAUCUAUGAAAGUCCAUUCCAUAUUUUAAAAUCCAUUUGGAAACAUCACUGCUUUUUUCCAUUGUAUCUGUUUUCCCCACCUAUGAGGACUCUGUAUGUGUGUGUGGGUGGGUGGGUGGGUGUGCGCGCAUGCACAUGUGCACACGUGGACAUGUGCAUUUUAGUUAAUAUAUAUUAAAUGCACCUGUUUAUGGAAACUGAGCAUUUCUCCUCUUUUCUAGACACAGAUGUGGUAAGAGUCAAUUUCUUUUUAAAAAAUCCCAACCAGGGGUCUCUGAAGAUUUAUACUGUUACAUCAUCUUUUCCAAAUUAGCAACUAGAAAUAUAUUAACUUUCCUUGGCUAUAGCUAAGCUACUUUUAAAAAAUUAUAAUAAUCAUUUGAAUUGUCUAAGUUUCUGACUUAGAAUAUUGAAAAAACUUUUUUCAUUGACUAGAUAAUGGAUAUAAUAAGACUUUCUGAUUCUGUUGCCUAUUAUUUACUGUGGAAAGAAUGCUUUCCCUACAGACUAGGAACAAGAUGUUUAAAAAUAUAAGACAGGGUGGAGACCCAUUUGUUUGGUCAGCUUUAUAGAAGCCAUGCUUCCCAGCUUAUGAAUCUGCCAAAUAUUCCAUCUACCCACCCCUGCCUGAUUCUUCAAGUUUCUUUGGGAGUAUACUUAGGGCUCUGUUGAAUAAGGCACUGAUACAGUGCAUGUGUGGCGAUUUAAAAAGCCAUAGGCUGUUUCCUAGAGCAGCCUGAUUUUAUCACAUUAUUAUGAAUUUUUGUUUUGUGGUGUGUGUAUGUGUGUGUGAAUGUAUGUAUGUGAAAUGUCUUUUUUCCUUUUGCCCAGUCCUCUCUGCUCUUGUAUGUUCACGAAACUAGAAGGCAGCAGGACUCGAUUUAUCAGAGGCAGUAGGAGGAAGUACAAAGAUAUGAAAGGGUUACUGUUCACAUUUCCUGUGUAAUUCCCUCUGAUCUUACUGAGCUAUAAUUCCUUUCUUGAUGUUAAGCAUUCCCAGGCUCCUUUAACCUUCUGGCCUGCUUGCACCCGCCAAGUUUGUCCCAGGUGAUUAUGUAGGUGAAAACUCUUUGUUUUUUUAAGAAUAGAAAUGGCAACUUCUCCAUGAGAUAGGCUAAAUUCCUUUGCAAUCUGCAAAGAAUUCCCUUUCAUUUAAAAUAACAACAGAGCAGUAACAUAUUGGUUUUCAAACUAAUAUUUAGCAAUCAAGUUUGUUGUUGAUUUGAGUAGAUUUUUUUUGGUCUACUGUUUCUUGGUUUAGUACAUUUCUGGUUGAUUUUACACUAUUGAUUUUUUCAGGAUUUUCAGGAAGAAUGCUUCCUUCUAAAAAUAUGCUUGAGAAAUGGGUUUUGAUUCUAAAAGGGUAAAUUUUGACACUACCAUCUCACUUUGAGCCUACUUAAUCAGUAUAUUAUUUUUAGUUGCUUUAGAUAUCAAGCUGUUGUAGAAACUGCAACAUUUCUUGUUCUUUUGUAGUCAAUUUAGAAGGUUAUAGUUGAGCAUAGUGAAGAUACUUAUUUCUGACUUCUCUGGUUUUGAAAGUAUAUAACAGUUCAUUUUGAUUCCACAAUUUAAAAUACAUUUUUGUGGUUGGCAAAUAGUUUCUAUUUUUGCCUUUUCCACUUAAGUCUUAGAAGAAAAUGUUAUGCUGUGAAGCAUAAGAAUGUGUCAGCAGCUAUUUAUCAGUUGAGAGGGACAAGAAGUACCUAUGCCAACACUAUUCUGAUCUCAGGUAGUGAGCUUGUAUUUAGACACAGCUCUAGAUGUACAUUGGCUCAUUGUGCUUAUAACACUUCUUUGUCCUUAGCAACUUGGAAACCUAGAGUUGUGGGGCCAGAAAUGAAACUCUCUCUUUGAAGGAGUUUCUAGGUUAAUUUAAGUUUGCUGGUGCUUGGGAAAAAUAAACUAUUUGUAUUGCUCUAAGUAAUAGAGAAAAAAAUUUUAAUGUACUUUAACCAAAUGUAAUACAAUUUAAUGUGGAGGUAGAUAGAUGAACUUCUAAAUUUCUGCUGUUUUGAAUCUUUAGAGUGCCAGCAUUACUGGUUGAUAGUUCUCAUUCAUGUUUAGUUUUCCAGUAGAGCAUAGAGCAUGUUGAUAUAGUAGACAUUCAGUAAAGGUUUGUUGAAUGAAUGAAUGAUAGUGCCAAAUUCGUUUUGUAGACUUUUUUAUUAUUCCAUAUGUGCAUGAUUGGGUGAUGCAUGUCUAAAUAUGUUACCUAUACACUUUCUAUUAGCCUCUAAUGAUAGGUACUGCUCCAAGUCUCGUUGUCAUUAAACAGUUAAUUCCUUCAUAAUCUUCUGUGUCCAAGUUCUAAGGUGGUCUAUACCUCGUUUUCAUGCUCUCUCAUAGAAAAAAAGUGAUGUGUAGUCAUUCGUUACUUUAGUCAUAGAUAAUAUAUCAACAUUUCCUAAAACUAAUAAACAAAUUUAUUGUUUUCAUAGUAGAAAAAUACUUAUAUUCUUCCAAGGAUUAACUUUACUAGGUAGAGCACUAAAAAGCAAUAUCAGUCAGUUAACAAAUACAGAAUGCUGAUGUAAGCAGCAUCAUUCCUGGAUUUGUGGGCUCUUCAGGAAUAUAUAUAAUCUUAUUCGUGCCAUCUAAAGUUUCCCAGACAUCUCAGUGAUCAGGAUAUGUAUACUAGUCAUGUCAAACAGUAACUUAAAGUAUACUAAAUAUGAUUGCAUGCUAAGUGAGAGACACGAACCAGAGGCAGAUAGUUUAGGGAACUGAGGAAUGAUUUUGAAUUGAGUUAGAGAGUGGAGUACAAUUUGUGGGGGAAACUUGAAUAGGAUGUUAAAUAAAUAGUCCGUGUUUGGAUAUAAGGAGUGAGGAGGGUGACAUUUCUAAAUAAGGGGGACAGUUCUCACACCUCUUAUUCCCAGCAGCAAUAGAAACAACAGCAAAACCUAAAUGUGUUUGGAGACUAUAUACUUACAUUCUCCUGAAGUAGAAUUUUAACUUCCCCUGAGAAGCCAUAACAUCUCUUUUAACUACCAUAAGAUCACUUCCAUAUGAGAUGCCCCUGAAUUUUCCUCCUAAUUAAAAUUUCUGUAGAAAAAUAGAAAUAAGAAAAUAUGUUAAAGAGCUAUCAUUCAUGACUUCACAAUCUUCAUCCAAUCUUUUUUUUUUAAAUUUUUUUUAUUGUUGGUUGUUCAAAACAUUACAUAGUUCUUGAUAUAUCAUAUUUCACACUUUUAAUUCAAGUGGGUUAUGAACUCCCAUUUUUACCCCGUAUACAAAUUGCAGAAUCACAUCAAUUACACAUCCAUUUAUUUACAUAUUGCCAUACUAGUGUCUGUUGUAUUCUGCUGCCUUUCCUAUCCUCUACUAUCCCCCCUCCCCUCCCCUCUUUUCUCUCUACCCCCUCUACUGUCAUUCAUUUCUCCCCCUUGUAUUAUUUUCCCCUUUCCCCUCACUUCCUCUUGUAUGUACUUUUGUAUAACCCUGAGGGUCUCCUUCCAUUUCCAUGCAAUUUCCCUUCUCUCUCUCCCUUUACCUCCCACCUCUCAUCCCAGUUUAAUGUUAAUCUUCUUCUCAUGCUCUUUGUCCCUACUCUGAUCUUAGUUACUCUCCUUAUAUCAAAGAAGACAUUUGGCAUUUGUUUUUUAGGGAUUGGCUAGCUUCACUUAGCAUAAUCUGCUCUAAUGCCAUCCAUUUCCCUGCAAAUUCUAUGAUUUUGUCAUUUUUUAAUGCAGAGUAAUACUCCAUUGUGUAUAAAUACCACAUUUUUUUUUAUCCAUUCGUCUAUUGAAGGGCAUCUAGGUUGGUUCCACCGUCUUGCUAUUGUGAAUUGUGCUGCUAUGAACAUUGAUGUAACAGUGUCCCUGUAUCAUGCUCUUUUUAGGUCUUUAGGGAAUAGACCGAGAAGGGGAAUAGCUGGGUCAAAUGGUGGUUCCAUUCCCAGCUUUCCAAGAAAUCUCCAUACUGCUUUCCAAAUUGGCUGCACCAAUUUGCAGUCCCACCAGCAAUGUACAAGUGUACCCUUUUCCCCACAUCCUCGCCAGCACUUGUUGUUGUUUGACUUCAUAAUGGCUGCCAAUCUUACUGGAGUGAGAUGGUAUCUUAGGGUGGUUUUGAUUUGCAUUUCUCUGACUGCUAGAGAUGGUGAGCAUUUUUUCAUGUACUUGUUGAUUGACUGUAUGUCCUCCUCUGAGAAGUGUCUGUUCAGGUCCUUGGCCCAUUUGUUGAUUGGGUUGUUUGUUCUCUUAUUGUCUAAUUUUUUGAGUUCUUUGUAUACUCUGGAUAUUAGGGCUCUAUCUGAAGUGUGAGGAGUAAAGAUUUGUUCCCAGGGUGUAGGCUCCCUAUUUACCUCUCUUAUUGUUUCUUUUGCUGAGAAAAAACUUUUUAGUUUGAGUAAGUCCCAUUUGUUGAUUCUAGUUAUUAACUUUUGUGCUAUGGGUGUCCUAUUGAGGAAUUUGGAGCCCGACCCCACAGUAUGUAGAUCGUAGCCAACUUUUUCUUCUAUCAGACGGCGUGUCUCUGAUUUGAUAUCAAGCUCCUUGAUCCAUUUUGAAUUCACUUUUGUGCAUGGCGAGAGAAAGGGAUUCAGUUUCAUUUUGUUGCAUAUGGAUUUCCAGUUUUCCCAGCACCAUUUGUUGAAGAUGCUAUCCUUCCUCCAUUGCAUGCUUUUAGCCCCUUUAUCAAAUAUAAGAUAGUUGUAGUUUUGUGGAUUGGUUUCUGUGUCCUCUAUUCUGUACCAUUGGUCCACCCGCCUGUUUUGGUACCAGUACCAUGCUGUUUUUGUUACUAUUGCUCUGUAGUAUAGUUUGAAGUCUGGUAUCGCUAUACCGCCUGAUUCACACUUCCUGCUUAGCAUUGUUUUUGCUAUUCUGGGUCUUUUAUUUUUCCAUAUGAAUUUCAUGAUUGCUUUCUCUAUUUCUACAAGAAAUGCCGUUGGNAUAUGUUAUUCCAGGAUCUUCUAGCUUUCAGAGUCUGUGUUGAAAGAUCAGCUGUUAUCCUGAUUGGCUUACCCCUAAAUGUGAUCUGCUUCCUUUCUCUUGUAGCUUUUAAAAUUCUCUCCUUAUUCUGUAUGUUGGGCAUCUUCAUUAUAAUGUGUCUAGGUGUGGGUCUCUUAUGAUUUUGCACAUUCGGCGUCCUGUAGGCUUCUAGGAUUUGGGAUUCUGUCUCAUUCUUCAAGUCUGGGAAGUUUUCUCGUAUUAUUUCAUUGAAUAGAUUGCUCAUUCCUUUGGUUUGAAACUCUGUCCCUUCCUGUAUCCCAAUGACUCUUAAAUUUGGUCUCUUGAUGUUAUCCCAUAUUUCUUGGAUGUUCUGCUCAUGGUUUCUUAACAGUCUUGCUGAGCUGUCUAUGUUCUUUUCAAGUUGAAAUACUUUAUCUUCAUUGUCUGAUGUUCUGUCUUCUAAGUGUUCUACUCUGCUGGUAGUAUUCUCAAUUGAGUUUUUAAGUUGGCUUAUUGCUUCCUGCAUUUCUAGGAUUUCUGUUUGUUUUUUUAUAACCUCUAUUUCCCUGUAUAGUUGAUCUUUUGCUUCUUGGAUUUGUUUAUGUAAUUCAUUGUUGAAGUGAUCUUUCAUUGUCUGAUUUUGCUGUCUGAUGUCUUCCUUGAUACUCCAGAUCAUCUGAAGCAUGUAUAUCCUGAAUUCUUUAUCUGACAUUCCAUCUGCUGCAGCUAUUACCUCUUCUAACGUUGAGUUGACCUGCAAUGCUUGUGGUCCUUUCUUUCCUUGUCUCUUCAUACUGUUCGCGUUCCUUUCUACUUGGUGAAACUGUUGUGCUAUUGAAUUUUCCCCCUAUAUAUUUAUAUUGGUCUUGUAUGGUUGCAAAGUCUCCCUCGCAGGCGCGGGCGGCGGCUCUGCCCCUCCUCCAAUUGGGGCAAUGUGCCUACCACGCCGGCAGGCCGCUGGGCCUGCUCUGCCGGUCGGUAGCAGGUCCGCCGACCUUGCAGGCGCGGGCGGCGGAGAGCCAGUUUUUUGCCCCCUCUGCCACCUGUAUUCUCCUGCAUCAAACACCCUCUAUGCCUGAAUUUCUCUAGUUUCCUCGGCACACUCUGAGCUUUGUGGUGGGCAUUUGCCAGGUAUGGUUUUGGGACCUAGCUUAAGCACACAGGUCCAGACUCCCAUUACCGCCCGCCACUGUAGCAUGGUAGGAACAUGCCACGGCCAUCAUGUGUGGCAUGUUUUCCACCCUCUGGAUCAGUUCGACAGUGUCCUUAAUCUCUGAUUUCUCUGUACCAAGACACACCAUAGUGCCAUGGUGCCAUCUUAGAUGCAGGUUUUCUUAGUCCCCCUGCUCCCUUUGUCCACGGUGGAUCAGGUCUAGCAGCUGCCAGCACUGGUGGUGGCUUUUCUUCUUUUAUUUUAUUAGACCUAAACAUCUGAGUCCCCAAGCUGUUCUGAGAGUACAGAAUUAAAUCCCAGUAAAGACCCUCUUUCACUUACCUCACUGAGAAGUUACUCAUCUGCUUUCUUGGUCUCAUGCCAUAGAGCAGCUUGGUCAGCACACUUUGCUACUCCACCAUUUUCCUGUUCUCCACAAAAUUCUAGAUUUUAAAGGAGGGUUGAUGUGCUCCUUUGUUCCUAGAAGCCACUUAGGAAUCUGUGUGCCUUCUUUAUUUAUCAGUUCCUUGUUUAUAAAUCUUCCAUUACUGCCUCCUCUUCCUAAUUCCUUUUAUUGGUUGACUUUGAGGACACAGCUCCAACUUCCUCAGUGAUGUCAGUAUUAUGAUCAUGUACACUCCACACCAUGUGAUUAAAAUAUUUCUCCAAAUUCAUGAAUUUGAGUUUCUAAUGCUAAAAACUUUUUUGUUGUUAUUGUUGGUACCAGGGAUUGAGCCAUAUCCCCAGCUCUUCUUGUUUUUAUUUGGGGACAGAAUUUUGCUAAGUUGCUUCAGGGCUCACUAAGUUGCCAAGGCUUGGGUCAAACUUGCAGUCUUCUUGCCUCAUCCUCCUGAGUUGCUGAGAUUCCAGGCAUACGCCACCAGCAGAACUGAUUUUUUAACUUCAUUAUCAACCAAAGUCAUUCUAAAAUUUUAAAUACCGAAAACCCUUCUUUUCCUUUCUCCUUUUCUCUGACAACUAAACUGUUCUUCUCUCAAAUUCAAAUAUUCCUUCAUUCUUCUAAUGUUCCUUAAUCUGUCUUCCCUUUCAUUCCCUCUUUCUGCCUUCCUCUCUCUCCCUCCGUAGAUGGCUUUGCCAUUGGAUCUGAAAUUCUUCAGCUUUAUUCCCUAAUACACAAAAUUUUUAUCUAUCUUCCUUCCUUUGCUUUCAUUCUAAUCACAAAGAAUUUUCGCCUCUUUAACAUGAACUAGUAGAGUUCUCGUCUUUUCCUUGAUUUUGCCCCAUAUAUCACUCUUCCUUUCCAUUUUUUCCAUUUACUAGCAUUAAAAAUGAGUAAAAAACCCAAUAAUAACAACAAAAACUUAAGUUCACUUUCUUCAGCUUCAUUUGCAGACUAUACUGGACUUCUUAGAAGGGCAAACUUAUGAUUAAGUUAUAAUUCCACCUCUCUCUUCCCCACUUUUAAAUAUCCCAACUAAUAGAAUUUUCUAUUCUCCUUUACUGCCUUUUAGAAGAAUCUUUCUCAGUUCACCAUAUGUGGUAAGUUCUUCUUGGUCUUUCUUCCCUAAAGAGGCAGGACAGUGCAUUCCUUUCUUUUGUUCUUCUGUGACUUCACUGGUUGCUAUCAAUCUUUUGUGGCAGGCCCCUCCUCAAAUAAAUAGACCAUUUAGGAGAUGACCAAGCUAUUGCAUUGAGUUAAUGCAGUCAGAGAUACCAUACAGUUGAUUAUGGAGUGGUACCUCAAAGAGAGAAAACGAGUGUAGUAUUUUUCUUUAUUACAGAUGGUCUCUGAAAUUCUAGGAUAGGAUAUCAGAAAUGAAAUGAGUUGUUGGAUUGGUUGAUUUCCUAAGACUGUGAUUGAUACAAACAACGAAUAAAAGAAAGAUCCAUUACAGAUGAAGACAGUAUAACUGUAGGUUGUUGAUUGUUCCAGUUCUCAGUUUUGCAUAAUUGAUUGGAUGGUUAUUCUGGUUCUCACUUUGAAGCACUUCUUCAGUGACUUUUCAACACUUAAUUCCAUUGCAACAGUUGUCCUUUUUUUUUUUUUAAAUUUAAAUUUAUAUUUUGGUUGUAGGUGGACAUGUACCUUUAUUUUAUUUAUUUAUUUGUUUGUUUGUUUAUUUAUUUAUUUAUAUGUGGUGCUGAGAAUUGAACCCAGUGCCUCGCACAGGCUGGGCAAGCAAUCUACCACUAAGCCACAACCCCAGCCCCAAAAUAUUAAAUGUGAGGCGGUUGAGAUUAAGUUUUUCACCAGUCUAUUUCUUUCUUUCUUUUCUUUUUUUUUUUUGGGAGGGGGGAGGUAGUACUGAGGAUUGAACCCAGGGCCUUGUGCAUGCUAGGCAAGCACUCUACCAACUGAGGUAUAUCCCCAGCCCCCCCCCCCCCGCCCCCUUUUUAAUUAUAUUUUGUUUUUAUCUUGACCAUUGCAGUAGCAAAAGAUCUCAUUGCCUAUAGUAAAAUAAAUGUCUGUGUGUACCUCAUAUGCAGUAUGUAGUUUGACUUGUAUUUAGGCCUUGGAUACACUGCCUAUUGAGUCUUCUCACAGUAACUCAUACUCUAAAACAAAAGCCAUAUGUUUAAAAUACAAAUUUGAAUGUAUUUUCUACUGAAUGUGCUUUUUUUUGUGCAGUACUGGGGAUUAUUCCCAGGGCCUUGUGCAAGCUGGAGAAGCACUCUCUCGUAGAGCUCCAUCUCCAGCCCUCUACUGAAGCCACAUGUGCUGAAUCUAGUAUUUAACCUUCUACAAUAUGACUUGGCUUCAACUCAAAAUUCUAGUCCUUAUCUGUUUCUUAACAGUCUCUCUGUUGAUAUUCAGUCCAGAAUGCAGAGCCUUCCUACAUUUUUCCUGUAGUAAUAAACUCUCUCCAAAGUUCCAUAGUGCCUUGUAUCAUUUGCAGCACUAAGUCUGUCUUGAUUUGGAGUUACUCAUAUUAGUCUUCUCUAGAGGUUUAUGAGUUGCUUGAGAAUAGGAGCUGUCUCUCCCUUACUUUAGUAUCUUUUUGCUGACUGUAAUACUGAGGAGGGCUCAAAUGUUGACUAAAUUUUAAAUAAUUCAGUUUAAACCAGGCUUAAAUAUCUAAUAAUAUAUUUCCCCAGUUUUUAGGAGAUUGACAUAAAAUAUGUGAAGGAGAAUAUUGUAUCUUCUAUUUUAGAAGUCUCUGAGCACAGCUCAAGAUUUUUAUUAUAGAUUUUUAAAUUAUGCAUAGUAUAAGUAAUAUCAGUUUUAAGGUACUUCAUAUAAUUCUUUUAUGGUCUUUCAGGUGUAAUCAUCUAAUUGGUUUCUAUAAGCAACAAAUCAAUCCUUUUAAUUUCAUUACUUCCAUUUCAUUUGUUUUCAGAUAAAGAUGAAUGCUGUGUGUCAUGUAACACUGAAGUUUUGAAGUUGGAAGACAUUUGCUAAAUCAAAUCACUCAAGUAAGUUGACUCACACCUAUCUUAGCAAUAGCUCAAGAUUUAAAAACAAGGGACUGGGUUGUAGCUCAGCAGUAGAACGCUUGCCCAGCAUGUGUAAUAUACUGGGUUCUAUCCUCAGCACCACAUAAAAAUAAAUAAACAAAGAUGUUGUGUCCUUCUGCAACUAAAAAAAUUGUUUUAAAAAGAGAAAAGAUUUAAAAACAAACAAGUCCACCACCUUUGACGCUUCCUUAAUAAUAAAAUUUUAUGGAAUAUCUUAUAGUGAUCUUGUAUAUUGAAUAAGAGGUCUUCGACAAUAGUGGAAUAACAAUUUCAUAUUACAUUUUAUAUGUUUUUAAAAAUAUAAUGUUUAGGGGCUGGGGUUGUGGCUCAGUGGUAGAGCACUUGCCUACCACUUGUGAGGCCCUGGGUUUGAUCCUCAGCACCACAUAAAAAUAAAUAAAUAAAAUAAAAUAAAGAUAUUGUGUCCAAUUACAACUAAAAAAUAAAUAUAUAAAAAAACAAAAUAACAUUUAAAAAAAUAUAUAUAAUGUUUAAACACAUUGUAUUAUUUUUAAAGGGAGACUACCACCUCAAUUAUCCUUGUAUUUGUAGCAAGUUCUAGUCAUAAAGUCUUAACCAAACAGCUAAACAGUGCUUUUAAAAUGGUUUUUCUUUUGAAGCUAAUAUUUUGGUUUUUAUUUUUUAAGUUUUCAUACAGUUUUUCUUAAUGAUUUCUACAUUAUUAUAAAAGGAAGUAAUUUAUUAACCAGCUAGCACAUGAACCUUAAAUGUUUAUUUGGUCAAAAACCUCGCUUGAAAGAUUAUCUUAACCAACCUCAACUUUUAAAAUCAUCUCUUCAUGAUCUUUCUGUAUUCAUUCUCUUUCUCCAUCUUGUAUUCUGCAUAAAUCUGCAUAUAGAAUCACUUUAAUAAUUCAGUUCCUUUGCCUGGCAUUCAAAACUCCCUACCAUGCUCCUAAAACAUCCCCCAGUUGAGCCAACUGGAGUCUCCUAUUCUCUAAACUCACAUAUCCUUCUUUGUCCUUAAAUUGUACUAUUUUUCCUACCGGAAAAAUGAUUUUCUGCUUUUGCUAUUUCCUUUGCGUCUUAAAAUCUUCUACAAAUCUCUCCAUGAAGUCUUCCUAGGUACUCCAGUUAGAAAUACUAACUCUUUCCAUCUCUCUGCUGACUGCGUCUAAUGUUUUGUUUUUUAUCACUAUUAACAGCAGCUUUAUUUGUGUCUCUUAUAGCUCCCAUCCUAGGUUGUAAGGCUGUAUAAAGUAAAAGAUCAUGUCUGAUGAAUUUUGUCUCCCACAGUACUCAGGAUAGCCUUUAAUAGUGUUCAGGAAAUAUUUGCUUAAAAAAUUAAGAAUGUGCUUGGCUUUCUUCCCAUCAUCCCCUCUUUCAUCCUAUAGAUAUGUACUGUCCAUGUUAAUGCCAAUUUUCAUUCUUGUAGUCCAUUCCUGGCUGCCCUUAGUAAGAUACAGUCAUUCCCCAACCUAAGAAUAAGCUAUAUUCCAGAAGUUCAUAUCUUAAUUCAAUUGUUUAGAAUGCAGAAAGCAUUUUUCCACAAAAACAGUGCUAUAAAUAUUGGUUUGAUUCUCAGCCAGCUCUCCCAAGACUGUUUAACUCAUAAGUACCUGUGCUACUUCAGUUACAGGUAGACUCCAUGUAUAAUGAUGUUUUGUGUCAUUCUGGAUAUGGAAGUAUGUCUCCCAUGCACUAGAAACAGGACAUGAACCUGCUGAGCUGAGCCAGAGCUUCGGUAGUGAUUCAUAUUAGAUACUCUUCUACUAGUAGCUUUUUCGUUUUCGGUAUUUGCAUUAUAGACAUUUACCUACAGUUUACUAAUACCUUUAUGUCGUCUAAAUUGAGAGGAAAAGAGCACUUGCUCUUCUGAACCUCCCCAUAGUGAGUUAGGAUGGGGCUUCAGCUGGCCUUUCACAUUGGUGGGCCUUUUGUAAGGUUUUGAUAGAUCAGUAGCUCUUUUACUACAUACUGCUUUCUGCUCUUCUACAAACAACAGAUUGCAUACACAUAGAAGAUAUAUAAACAUAGAAAGUAUAUAAAUAUGAAAAAAUAACUUCUUUCUAUAAGGAAAAAUACAUUUAUUAGUAUCACCCCUAAAUUUGACAUCAAAUCAGUUUUUGUGAACAAGUGAUUAUCUUUUCUACAUGGAUAUAAUGAUGCCUCUAGUGACAAAACAUGCCACUGUAUGAAUAAACAACCCUUGAGGUUGACAGUUUAGGUUGUCAGGCUGUAAGAAAAAAACACUUCAUAAAUUUCAGAGAACUUAAUUAUUCAGUCAUCAUAAGUAUUGAGCCCAGAGUAUCUACUUUAUGCUUAAUGCUGCUGCUAAUGGUAGGGACUAGGGAGUGGAAACAAAAGAUGUUGUGAAAAGUUUGCCUUCCCUCAGGGGCCUGAAAUACGAGGAGCAAAAUAUUAAAUAUUCACAGUGAAAACAAUGUUAUUAAUUGCCAUAAAAUACUUUAAUCCUCAGAGCAUUUAUUAUCUUUCUACUGAGGAUUAUCAGAAUUGCAGCGUCAUUAAGAUUCACUAUGGUUCUAAAAAUAGUGGUGGGAUUUCACUUAGUUUUAGAAGAAUGGUGAAGAUGUAAAUAAAGAGCUAGAAAGGAAAUGCUAUUCCAUGUUGGAUUAACAGCAUGCAAAGAGGAUUGGAGACAUAAACAAACAACAGUCAUUAAUGGCUAAAGCUCAAGAGUUAGUUCAUAUUGGGUGAAAUAAUAAGUGGGAAAAUUAGAUCAGUGGUUCAGCCCUGGCAGAACCUAAGAGUCAUCCAUCUAUUUUUAAAGCUACAAGUCCCUGGAUCUUCCCCAGAACUAUUAAAUAGAAUUUCUGGGGCAUGGGGCAUAAGCCCGUUUAUUUUUAAAGCUCCCCUAGUGGUUCUGAUAUUCAGCCAAGGUUGAAAUCCCCUGAAUUAGAAGGAUGGGCCAAAUUUAAGAGAGCUAUGAAUCCCCUGCUGAGGAGUUGGGCCUCUGUCCCUCAAGCAGUGGGAAGCCUUCAGAGGUUUCUGAGGUGGGUGACAUGAUCAGUUUUGUCCUUGCCAAGAUAAAUGAUUCCUCAACUAUAUGUGAAUGGAAGAAAAGUAAGGAAAAGCUUGAAGUAGAGCAAUGGUUAUGAGAAAAAAGAGCCACAUUUUUAAGUAUAGUUAGAUGUGUGGGAGUUGGUGAUGUCAGCCUUGACCUCAGUAUGAUUUGUUUUAUAAACUGAUUAUACAACUUCACCCUUAUUAAUUUGGUCUUUUUUCUCUUAUGACCUGGCAACUUAAACAGUAAUUUCAGCCACUUUGCAUUUAAUGGAAAGAGAUCAUGGUCUACUCAGGUACAUGUCUAAUUCAUAAUAGUAAGUGAAGUUAUAUGUAUGAGGAAUAUGACCUUCAACACAAUCAUUAUAAAGCAAUCAGGAACCUCCCGUAUAUGCAGUAACACAACCCCAGUCCUACAGAAUUGUGCCAAGAAUCAGAGUCACAUAUAUAAGGUAGUUGUUGACUCACAGUUCCCUAGCAUUAAGUUGAAAUUUGAAGAAACGUUCUCAAUCAUCCUAUGCAUUUUAAUAUUUUUAGUAUUAAAUUUGAUAAUUGCUUAGUUUUUUGCUGGCAGAUUAUGUGAGGCCCCUGACUAAAACACCAAUCCAUAUUCUAAGCUUACAAUUCUUUCUCUGCCCAUUUUUGUAAAGAGAGCAAGCAACCUGUGGGCUCCCAUUAGUUCCAUCCUCUGAUGUUAUCUACCUGUAAGUGCCUCCAACUCAUCCUCAUCCAGAGGGAUAACUGAAUCAGCAGAGUGGAAUCUUCAGUGGAGUCAGAAUUUCAGUUCUUUUGCGGCACUGAUCAGCCAGAUGAUCCUGGCAAUUCUUUUGCUUCUGACCCAAGUGGCACAUGAUAGCUCCUAAGGUGUACAAACUCAAACCACACCAUAGGUUAGAAACAUUUCGUAUCUCUUUGAUGUGUUUGAAUUUUUUUAUUUGAAGAUAAUUAGCCAUAUUUAUUAGACAGCAGAGAAUAAGUUCAAAGCCUGAAGUUUUGAUGUGACCCACCUCCCUCUACAAAAGACUCAACAUCAUGAAUUUUUUAAAAAUAACUACUUUCUCAGUUAUUCUAUAAUAAUAUAUUCAACAAUUUCUUUGACCUUUUUUGCCUUAACAAUGAAUGUAUUAUUGUUUUAUCAAUAUCUUUAAACUUUGAAUGACUUUUGUAAUAGAUAUGUAGUUUUCACUCAUCACCCAAAUGUUUAAACAGUGAAUGGAUGGUUUGCUUAGAGUUGAUAGAUUUGGUAGAAGAGAGGAAAGAGAAGGCAGCUAACAUUUAAAAUAAAAAUCAAGUGCUAUAUCAUAUUCUUUACAUAUAUUUUGUCAUUCUAAUUUCAUUUCACAAAUGAGGAAAUUGGGAUUUAGAGAAGUUUAAAAAACUUACCUGAGCCCAAAGUCAGGUCUGGCUAUCUGUGGAAAGAGCUUAGUCUUGUAAGUUUUCAUGACUUUUAUAUGUGGGAGAAAUCACUGAAUGCAGAAUGAGAAGGUUUGAAUAUAAGCCUCACCCUUGUCACUAAUAACCCUGAAACAAAUUAUUUAAUGCUUGAGAGCAUCAGUUUCCUUGUCAUCAUAGGAGUUAACACUCACUUUACUGACCAUUUUGGCUUGUUGUGAGAAAAAUUGGCUAGUUAGAUUCAGUAUGAUUUUAUACACAUAAAAACCCGUGGAAGUAUGAUAAAUUCUUAAUUCAAGCAAAUAAAUAAACAGAACAAACAUUAAAUGAGAUGACUUGAACCGACUUUGUGGUUUUUCAUUACUUAGUAUUGCUAUAAAUUUUCCAAAAAUAAUGUUCAUCAAUUUUGCAAAUCCCAAACACUGUGGUGUGCCAAACUGCAUCACUGUCCAUUUAAUAUCUCAGUGUAGCCGAGAGUGUCCUGGCUUUCACUUGCCAGGAGCAAUCAUUAGUUUCUAUGCUCUAUUAACUAGGUUCGACCCCCAGUAGAUGCUCAUUGCCAAUGAGGAUUGUUAGGCAAUGUGACUUAUUGAUGUUAACAUUCUCAGAACAUUUUUCCCCAUAUUUCUGAGGUUUUAGAACAAACCUGAAGAAAAAAGUCACAUUUUGUAAUAUUGUUUUUACAAAACUGCUUUUCAAAAAUGUUUCCAUUGCCAGGCUUACUAGUGUGUACCUGCAAUCCCACCUACUUGGGAGGCUUAGGCAGGAGGAUUACAUGUUUGAGACCAGACUUGGCAAUUUAGUAAGAUCCUGCCUCAGAAUCAUAAAAAGUUUUAAAAUGAGCUGGGACUAUGUUGCUCAAUGGUAGAACACCUGGAUUCAAUCCCAAUAUGGCAAAAAAAAAAAAAAAAAAAAAUCCCCCCAGUUUCUGAAAACUUAUACAUUACAGAUUAGUCACACUGAAUGACAAUUAUGAGCUAUUAUAAUCCACUUGUGACUCCUUCCUGUAUAUAUGUAACAGAUAAGGAUUUGGAAGAACUCAUUAAAUUAUAAGGACAGUGCUAUGAAUGAUGUCACAGGUCAUUUCCUAGGGUUACACAAAACCCUUACUCAAAAUUCUUUGACAUUGACUAUUAGCUAAGAGAACAGAGAAACAGUUUUAAUAAAACUUAAGAUGUGGAUCCACAAGUGUGUGCCCACGCAGUUUUAGGUUCUUAAGUAUAUGUGACUCCCCUGCAUCAGUACAUCUUGGGAUCAGUACAUUGCAUAGAGGGUUUUCUGGUCUUAAGGUAUUGACUUCAACAUGGUUUCCGAUACCAGUGCUGUGCCUGCUUCCUAGAUCUGGUGGAUGGAUGGCUCCAGUUAGGGCCAUGUGAAAUAAAAUUCAAGGGAAGUAGACAUAGAAAGCAAAGAAAAUGGACAAAGUAGAGAUUGUAAAUCCUCGACCAAUGGCCAGAUUUGGUCUGUAAAUGUGUUUUGUUUGACCAGCAGAAUAUUUUUUAAUAUUAAUAUUUUAUUAAGUAUUAAUAUUUUUAAUUAGUAACUAAUUUGUUGUCAAAAAAUUUAAUGCACAAAAUCAUGGCUGCUGCAUUCUCAUGCAAACUAGAAGAUCUGGCAACUUGGUCCUGUAUUUCCAUGUGGUAGUCAUCAGCUAGUGCUGAAUAGAAGCUGUCUAUAUUAGAUUGGAACAUUGUACUUUUUGGUUAUCUCAGUCCCACCCCUCGUUAUUGUUUUUCUUUAAGUAGAAAUAAGAGGAGAGCUAAAUCUUACUUAGACUUCCAUCUGUGUUAAAAUUGCAAAUAGCAGGUUGAAGACAUGGCAUAUUUCAGUAUAAGUGAGAGAUGGUAUUAGUUUUCUAGAGCUGCCAUAACUAAGUACCACAAGUGGAGAGGCUUUAAACAACAGAAUUUUUUCCUACAGUUUUGGAGGCUAGAAAUCUGAAAUCAAUUGGCAAGGCCAAGUCACUCAGAGGCCCAUAGAAGAGGAUCCUGCCUUAUCUAGUUUCUGGAAGCCUCGGGCAUUUCUUACUAUAUGACAGCAUCCUGUCUUCUCAUGAUUGUCUUCCAUUCUGUAUGGCAGUGUCCAAAUUUUCUCCUUAGAAGGAUACCAGCCAAAUUGGAUUAGGACCCAGCCUAAUCUAGUAUGACCCCAUCUUGAUUAGAUUUCAUUUGCAAAGACUGCUUUCAAAUGAGGUCACAUUCACAGGUACCAGGGUUAGUACUUCAUGUCAUUUAUGGGGACAUAAUUUAACCCAUGAUAGAUGACAUAUAUCUUUGUGGAAAGAGGAAAAAUUAAGAGCAGGGAUACUUUAAUCAGAGUGUCCACAUUCAAAUUUACAGCUUAUUUGCUUUGUGGUUUUAGACAAGUUGAUUUCUCAGAGCCUCAGUGUCUUCAUCUGUAAAAUGGGGAUAAUGGCACCUGAUUCAUAGGUUUGCAUUGAAGACAAAAUAAGUUAAUAUUUAUAUGAAGCACUUAGAAGAGUGCCUGGCACAUACUAUAUGCUCAGUAAAUCAAUUUUUGUCAUUAUAAUUUUUGUCAUUAACUUAUUCAUACAUAAAUGUAUACAUAGAGUAUCAGUGCACAAAAAAAAACUAUUAAUAGGAUAGCCUAAUGAAAGAAAAUAUGGAUACACUAAAGGUAGUAGGUAUAAGUAGUGCAUGGAAACAAAACUUGAACCAGAGAGAGAGGCUGGAAUUUUAAUAAAAUGUUAUUUUUAAUGCAAAUUAUUGCAAUAUGUCAAAAACAAUUUAGCCUGCUCCCUCUUUUAGAUUACCUGCCUAGCCCCUGUGUGCACUUGAAGCUGACUGAAAUCCCAAGAGAGAACUUUAAACCCAGAAGUAUAGAUGCUGACUAUUGGGUUGGUAAGCACAAGUGACCUGUAGAUAAUAAUGAGGCAGUUCCUCUGGGGAGAAUGCCUAUGGAACCGAUAUCUAAGCAUUCCUACCUGUCUCUUGGGAAGCAUGAUCUUACCUUCUACCUGCUUCCCCAAAAUCUUUAGGUUUAAGUAAUUCUGAUCUCUAAUUUUGGCUCAGAGAUUGAGGUUGAAUAAUUUUUUUAAAAAAUUUAAAUCAUACUUUUAUUUUGAGGUGUAUUUUUUUACUCUUUGACAUAGACUUGAUAUAAGAAAAUCAUACAACUUGAACUUUAUUAAAAACCGAGACAAGAGCACUGAUAAAAUUUAAAGCAACUGCAAGAAUGUUUGAAGUACCAGGAAGGAAGCUGUUCUGUAGGUGAUUGGCUGUUGGAUUUGUAGUACUACAGAAUAUAUAUAUCUCAUUCUCAAAGAUAGUGCUACCUUAGAAACAUGCAAAUAUCAAAUAAAGUCAAAGUAUCUUACCCAAAUGGUGGAAGGGACAUAUAUAUGUAUGUUAAUUCUGAUUUGUGACUUUAUUUGAAUAAAGGAAAUUAAGCUAUUUAAUUUUUGGUAAAUGAGUAGAAUUUUAUAGUUUUGAGUAUCAAUAACUGGAACAUUUAGAUUCAAUGAUGUAUCCAUCAGGACUCCUUCAUCACUGAAAGGAAGCCAGCUUAAACCAGCUUAUGAAAAUAAAGGGAACUUAAUUGUUUAUGUAAUUGUGAUUUCCAGAAGUGCAUCUGACUUCAGGCAUGGUUACAGCCAGGAACUCAAAUGAUCUCAUCUGGAUUCUUCUUUCAGCUUGGCUGAUUUCUUUAUUUGUCAUUUGUCAGAGGCAUAUGGCCAGUAAGCUGAUCACUAGCAAUUUAAGAUUGUCUUCCUUCUGGUUUAAUAAUUCCAACUAAGAGAACUUGUCAGGCCAAAUAUCCACCUAUCUGCCUCAAAGAAGAUGUGCAUUGACUCUGUUUGACCACUUGUGUGGCCAUUUGAAAAAUCAGUGUGACCUAGGAAUGGUAUAUACUGGUGGGCCAGCCUGGUCUGCUAUAGGAGAGGGACACUGCCCAGUGACUGUAAGCCUCACUGGGAUCUCAUGCAGUGGGAGAGGCUUUCUCAAGGGAAAUAGGAAAAGGGAGAUGAGAAUGUGUUCUCAGUAAACCAAGACGGACAUGACUUCAAAUCAUUAUAAAUGGUAUGUGAAAUAAUUCACAUAGUAAUUUUUGGCUUUACAAUGGCAGUGAAACAACUUUCUGGUGCCUUCUACAAAAGAAAUUUAUAUAAAAACAAAGAGUAUAGAUGCAAAAAUUCCAGCUCUUUAUUUGAUGAGAGGUAGGUGACCUCAAUAACUCUGAUGCAUAAGCUUUGAAGACAGAAAGAUUUGAUGCUAUGACUAGGUAUAACAAAGGAAUGUGAAAUUCUAAUCACUAGAGAGACAAUGGCAGUGUUAUCAGGGGACUAGAGAAGGAGGUGUGGCUUGGUGUUAAAAGCAUAUCAUCAGCUGAAAGUCUGUCUCAGGACUAGUUGGACUCUUAUGUCCUCACCUCACUCCAGCCAGAAAAAAAACUGUCUUCUCUAUAUCUUAGGAAUUGGAAGCUUUCUUCUCUGGAAGAAACUAUGAGAAUCUAUAGACAGUGACAGUGGACAGUAGGGUUAAGGGAAAGUCUGCCCUGCUUGCUGGUAGAGAUCCAGAAAAAAGAAAUGUCACGAACAACAGCUUAUUAUCAAUACUCAAAUGGAAACAUUAGAAUGAAGGCAGGAUUUGCAAAAUGUCAUUUUUUUCCUUGUCCUGGCAUAGGAUGAUUUGAAGUGACAAAGUUUGGGUUGUAAUCUCUUAAAAUGAUUGGUCUUUAUUUUUCAACAUGUGUAAAGCUGAAUAAUUUGAACAACAAAGUAUUAGACUGUUAGCGUUUGUCAUACCUUUCACCAAUGAUGAAGAAAGAGUUGUGAAGACUGUUUUCUUCUAAAAAUUUGAGGAGGCAUCAAAAUUUGAAAUUUAGCAUACAUGUACUUUAAAUUAUCUUACAUUACUUUAAAAAUACUAUUUUUAAGAUUCAGUAAAUACUAUUCUUGUCUAUGUAACUAAUAAAAUGUGUUAUAUUAAAAAUCUUCAAAUUACAGUUCGGGAUUUUUGUACAUUCUAAAUUUUAGUCUGUAAAUAUUAUAAAAGCGUUGAAAUUCUGAAGCAUUGUCAGGUUGCCACCUUUUGAAUUGGUUUCUAAAGCUUAAUGAAAUGGAAGGCAAAUGUCUUUCCCUUCUUAAAACAAGAAGUUUUAUUUUAUUCUUUGUUGUAGUAUAAUGAGACCAAAAUAAUGUGAAAAAUUAAAAAUGAAAUUGCACCAGAAUUUUAUUUGCCAAUAUAACUUUUUUAAAAAAAUUGUGCUGCAUUGCUUUUGCUGAAAAACCAGAUCAACUAAUCCAUAUGAAUUCUCUAUUUUUAAGAGGAUUUUUGUGGUUUUGUUUUGGCUUAGUGAGGUCAAGAAUUUUAAAUUAGAAUUAUAGAAUUGGAAGGUAUCCCUCUUAUUCAUUUUACAAAUGAAAGAACUCAAGUCCUGAGAAGUCAUAAUUUAUCCAGGGUCACAAGCUAAUAGUGAGGGUCAGAUGAGAAUCAGGGCCUCCUGGCCAUCAGUUCAGUGAUUUUUAUAAAAGACUUCUUGGGUUUAUUUUUACUACCAUCACUUUAUGUGCAGUAUCCAUAAUUUAUUGCAUUAGGCUCAGUUAGCAAAUUACAAGUUUUUGUUUAAUCCUCUAAAGCUGAAGGAACCUCUGGGAUUAGGAAUACUGACAGUGACAGAAAGCAUGGAUAGCAGGAAGCAUUUUUAAGACUCUUUGGCUGGGGUAGGGGCUGUCCCUUGGUUAGACUCUGAUCCUGCUCCCUACCAGGAACUCCUGUGUUUAUUUUUCUCUAGUACUUGAUUCUGCCUUCUGGAAGAUUCUUCCUUGACCAUUUUUUUCACCUACAGUCACACUUAUGUGGGCAUUGGGAAAUACGUCCUUUAUUUCCUAUUUUUUGUCCAUGCAUUUAAACAUUAUUUUAAGAGUCUCUCAAAGGCUUACAUAUAAUGCAACAUUUGUGGGGCCUUUGGCCAUGUUAUUUCCCCAAACUUAGCUAUUUUUUUUAUCUAUCUUACUGCAGUAAAUUCCAUGUGCUAGUAAGAGUGACUACAUGUUCCAAACUGGCAAGGACAGUCUUAUUUUAUGUCCCUUGUCUUGGCAGGUUAAGUAAUAAUGCCCUUUUCUACACUCAGAGCUAUCGCAGUUUGGACAGUGAAUUGUAUAAUUACUCUAGGCAAUAGCACACCAAAAAAAAAAACCCAAAAACCCUCCAAGCCUGAUUUGUUCCUUCGCUUUCUUAUAUUUCUGUCUCUUUCUCAACCUACUGGGGUUCUUAUUGGACCAUUUGAAAUGUGUUUUAUCUGAAGUUAAUAUACUUAACUUAAUCUGCAGCAAGGUUAAAUUCCUCUGUUUACCAGAGAAAGCAUAAGGAACCAUAUUUUGUUCAAAGUUUUUUUUUUUUUAAGUCUUCUUUUUAAAUGUGUGAAAUCCAGAAGCAGUCAGCUUUUCUACCUCUGAGAGUCCCUCAGAUUUCUAGAUUCUCAGUUUCCUUUCAUUGCUACUCUCAAAUCUUUUAGUGCUUGUCUCUUAACAUUUCUUUAUUAUAAAUCUUUGAUAAAGACAGCAAAUAGUACUAUGUAAUUCAGACAUUCUGUUUUCCAUUUCUUUUCUCUAUAGACAUGGGUUUGGUAGACAAUUGCAUUUGUAAAAAUGGAGGUAUUCAGUCAUCCCUAGGAAUCCUCAGGGAAUUGGUUUCAAGACCCCUCCCCAAGAUACCAAAAUCCACAGAUAUUCAAGUCACUUAUGUAAAAUGGUAUAGUAUUCACAUAUAACUUACACAUAUCUUCCUGUGUACUUUAAAUCAUCUCUAGAUUAUUUCAAAUAUAUUGUUUAUGAAUAACAACAAGACAAAGUCUGUACAUGUUCAGUAUAUACACAUAGGUUUUCAAAUAGUUUGAAUUCACAGUUAUUUGAACCCAAAGAUUCGAAGCACAAAAACACAAGAGCUGACUGAAAUUUACAGGCAAUACGUGCAUAGCUUUUAAGUGCUCAGUUCAAUGAGUUUUGACAACUGUAACCAUUACCCAAAAUAAGAUAUGGAACAUUUCCAUCACUCCAGAUGGAUAACCCUUUCCAGUUAUUUCCCCGCUUUAUACCUCUGGAGCAACUACCUUUUCACUUCUGUCACCAAGGAUUAUUAGUUUGGCAAGCAGUCUUUUUAUUAAAUGUUUGGCAAGCAGUCUUUUUAUUAAGUGCUUUGUGACUAUAUGGCAUAACUACCUUACUACCUUUUACUUGGUUUCUUCAUUUCUAGCUACUAAGCAAUUACUAUAUACUUUAGAGCUUUUCAUCUGUGCCUUCCUUAAAUAUAUUGUAGUUGUUUGUUUAUUUCUUUUAUUAAUUUGGGAAAGCUAACUGCUAUAAUAAGUAGACCCCAAAAUUUAUUAAUAGCUUAAACCCAAUUAAAGUGUAUUUACCGCUAAUGAAAUAAAGUACCAAAGGCAUUUGUGAUCAAUAGAUAACCGUCCAUAACCUGGGCCUUUGAGUUCUUUAGCAACUGGGGAACGAACAUGAACACACCUUAUCUGCUUCUGAAAAACUGCAAUCCAGAAGUUGACACUCAGUCACUUCCACUGAUAUUUUUCUGGAGAGUACUAUUCACAAAGCUACAUCUGGAACAAGGGACAAAGACCUGGAAAUGUAAACUCUGGCAGGGUAAAUGUUUCCCAGUGACAGCCCCAACACUAUAACAGGGAAAAGUGAUGUCACAGCUUUUAUUUUAUUUUAAUGAUACAAUACCACAUUGCAUUUCUUUUUUGUCAUGGUACUUACUUUUUUUGUAUUAUAUGUUCUUUUAUGUUUUCUAUAUAAACAUUUCAGAAUUUAAAACUGAAAUAAAAUGGUAUUGCUUUCUCUAUGAUAAAAAUGCUAAAGAGCAAAACGAAGUUAUUUUCCCUUGAUUAUUCUGAUAAAAUUAAAAUUAGUUUUGGGCAUCAACAGAUAUAAUUUUAACUUUUAAAAGACAUAAAAGCCUGAUCUCACCAUUUUAUUCAAAAUUGGGCUAGAAAGCCCAGCCAGCAGAGUAAGUAAAAGGGAGGCAGAGAGGAGCCUAAGAGAAAAGGUGCAGGAAUGGAAAGAAGGAAAAAAUACAUCAUCAUUGGCAUUGAUAUAGUUGUCCAUGUGGGAAACUGUCAGAACACUACAACUAAAUUAUUAGAGUUAAUGAAUUAGGAAGAUUUUUUAAAAUACAGAGUCAGCGUAGGAAAAACAGUUGCUUUUCUAUAGAACAGAAACAAACAACAAAAUAGAAAAUAAUGAUAACCAUUAAUAUCCUACAUAGCCAUGGAUUAUUUAUCAAAAUUAAGAAGUUAACAUUGAUAGAGUAAUGUUAACUAAAUUACAAGCUUUCAUUCAGGUUUUCCCAGUUUUUCUUUGACACAUUUUUUGUUUCAGGAUCAAUUCAGGACACCACUUGCAUUCGGUAGCCAUAUCUCUUCAGUCUUCUCCCAUUUGUGGAGUUUGUUGCUGUUGAUGCUGCUGUUUUCCUUGUCUUUUCCAGGCUUUAUACUUUUGAAGAGUAGUGGUCAUGUCUUUUUUAGAAUGGGACUCAAUUUGAUUUUGUCUUAUGUUUUCUCAUGAUUAUGUCACUUCAUAUCAGAGAGUAAAUUACAUCAACAUGAUUUAUUGCUGGUGGUGUUAACUUUGUUCACUUGGUUAAGAUGGUCUCUGCCAGAGUUCUCCACAGUAAAGUUACUACAGUGUUCCCCUUUUAUCCAUCGGGAACGUGUUCCAAGACCUCCAAUGGAUGUUGAAACUGCUGAUAGUACCAAACCCUAUAGAUACUAUGUUUUUUCCUAUAUAUUAUCUAUAAGAAAUUUUAAUUUAUAAAUUAGGCACAGAAAGAGAUUAACAAUAAUAGCUAUAAUAAAAUGGAACAAUUACUAUUAUAAUUAUAUUUAUGUAAUAUAAUGUAAUUUUUUUAUUUUUGAGAGUAUAUGGUUCUUUGUAAUCAGUGAGAUAUUUUAAUCAUAUGCCUUGCAGUAUUGUCACAUAGUACUAGGGUUAAUCUGUUCUUCCCUAUUUUAUGCCCUGGUGCUUCUUUAGCACUUUUAUGACUAUAGUUCCUGUUGGGCAUCUUCUAUCAGAAAAGCCUCGUUUAAUCACAGUUGAGUACUUGCUUGGGAUGAUAUAUCUUGUUUUAUUAAUCAACUGCCUCAACUGUGUUAGAAAUGCAGCUACAACUCCACAGGUGGAUCUCUCCGGUAAUUUUUAUAUUUUUCAGACCAGGACUAUUCCUGAGUCUAACCAUUCCUUACUUACAGUAAAUGGCUUGGUAUUACUCACAUCACGGGAUCCUCUCAUGUGUUGUGUAACACAAUUCAGUCAAUCAGAAGAUACUUUGUUUAUGUCUUCUGCCCCAAAUUUAAUGCCUUUUCUUUAAAAAGCACUUAUCAUGCACUUUUAUCACCAGCUAGCCAGGCUGGCUACCUAAGCUGGAUUCACAAAAGCUGGCUACAUUAGUAACUAAGAAAAUGGCCAAAAAAAAAAAAAAAAAAAAAUCAUACAACACACAGAAAUACCUUUUGCUUGCAGAAAUCAGGGACAACUCUCAACCUUUAGGGUCCAUUGGAAAGAGAGAGAGCAUGCCUGAGACUCUAUUUAUUGAGGGGAAGAUACUUUUGAAAGUUCCACCCAAAUGAUGGAAGGGUUGGGUUUCAGGUGGGUGUAGCCCGUCCCAUUGGGUGACUGCCCACUCUCGGAGCUUCAUUCCCCUGCUGACCAGAGGUGAGGUCCACCUGCUUUAGUGCACAGUGGAAGACAGUCCCACACCUCAAUCACUUAAGGAUAAGGGUACAUGUUCAUUCCUAUGUGGCAGCUCCCCACAUAUACCCCCUUUUUUAUAUGUAAAUACACCGAAGGGUUAUAACUCCCAGUCACUGGAUUCUUUGUCUGAGGAUGUCAUGACCUCCUAUUGUGACAUAAAAAGAAUGAGUAGAAAACAUAUCAUUUCAAUAACAUACCAUAUAGAAUGUUUCAACAUAUUUUUUGGAUUAAAGUCAUUCAAUUAAUUUCAAAAGAUCCAGGUUAUUAUUAUUACUCUGACAAACACUCACUAGAAGAUUUUUAAUCUUUUCCCAAUUUUAUUGGGAAGCAUUGUAUUUGGCCAUAGUAACACAGACAUAUUUAUAAUUAGCAUGGCAUUCAAGCCUUGCCUUAAACCAUAGAGCAGAGAUCUCAUUUGUAUUAUUUAUUACAGUGGCUUCUAGAGCGUACAACUUAGUUUCAAUCCUUCCGUCAAUAUUCAUCUGACUAUGGAGGAUCUGGGAAGUAAUUUAAGCCAAAUUAUUUAAGAAUAUUUACAUUUGUAAGUUUAAAACAUAGCCACAAAGGCUGUAAUUGUAGAAACAAUGAAUAAAUUCAAAGUAGUCACUUUAAGGAUCAUGAGAUCAAGAGCUUGCCUAGGUCUGUUUAAUUGGCAUGCACCUGUUUCGAAGGCUGAACAUUAAAUUCAGCAUACCAUGGUUCUGAAAUGUUAGCUGGCAGUAGGACAAAGGAAGGUUGAUGAAAGAUCAGUGUUCUUUUCCUCUGUUAUACCUAAUGAUACAAUUAGAUAAGUUGCAUUUUUUAUAGGCUACAGGAUAUUUAUCAUCCUUUCUCUUAAUUCUCACAUUUAAGAAUUUUCUUAGGUUUGUCAGUAAUGCAAAAAUUUUGGGGCAGAAGUUAAGCACCAGACACCCUUAUGGAUGCCAUCUCUCUAAAGGUUAAAGCCUCUAGGAAUCAUGGUAUCCUCAUGUAAUUGUCUUUGUCAAUUCUGGGAGACCAGUCUAAAAUAUAUCCACUAUUUUUAGACACCUUAUGUUAUACUGGCAAGACAUUUGCACAAUCCAUCCACUUAGGAAUGGUGCCAAUUUUAUUGUAGAAUGAUUAGGGCAAUAAUAUGUUGGUAGAUACUUUAUGUGAAUAACUGGCCUGUAUAGAAAAAUUCGAUUUUAAUAAUCUUUCUAUUUUGACAGUUGUCCAGAUAUGUCAGUGUAGUCUUAAUUUCCAAGGACCAGCAUGAUUGGCUGGUUUAGGUUACCCAUAUGCUGUCUCCCCCCCCCCCCCCCCCACCGAAAGAUACUCUUAGACAGCCAGCAUUUUUAUCAUGGGAACAACAUAUAGGUAUAGCUGACCAUUAUAGUCAGUACAAUUAAUCUAGUCACAUGGAUGAAUUUUCUAGUCCACACCGUAAAGUACAUUAAAAAGUGCACUUGGGAAAUGGGUCCACAGAAGUCUCUUCAUAAGUUUUACCUACCUGACAAGCUCGUUAAGCUGCAUGGCUGUAAACUCUGCAGCUAGAGAUUUACCUUCCUGUAUCAGGUUUUUCAGCCAUUUCCAGGAUAACAGGUUUAAACUGUUUUGAAAUCUGAUUUAACUUACUAAAUCAUAUUCAGCAGCAGUAAGACUUUUAAUAUCACAAUUUAAGAAAAAAAUUUGAAAUAUUUGUAAGAUUUAGUAUGUGUAUAUAGGAUCCUGUUUUCCCCUUAUUUCUUUGUUAAAAUUGAAUAGAGGCUUAGCAUAAGUUAUACUAUCAUUAGGUGAAUAGUAUAGUACAAGUAUUUAAAUAAUAAGAAAAGGUUUAUUAUCUCUAGCUGGUUAUGAAACUUGACAAAAGUCAUUUAAAGGGACCAUAGUAAAUAGAAACUUAAUCUUUACCAAAUAUACGACUUGAUUUUAAUAGAAUUAUCCAAAAUGAAGAAUAUAAUAAGUUGUAUAUAAAAAUUUGUGUUGUGAAAUUAGCUCUAGAUUAACUUAAAUGACUCUCUUAAUUUGGAAUGAGGCUAGAGCCAGAGUUUUAAACUUAAGAAUGGUGUCCUUUACUAGCAGCAUGAGAAAUAUAUAGAGACAUCUUUCCAAAAUAGAAAAUAUAUGUUUAAUAAACAUAGGAAAAAUAUUUUGUUUUUUUACCAUUAACAAAAACUGAAAUAGAAAACUGAAUAUCCCUUUAUUUACUAAUCCAUUAAAAAUUGUUAUUAUUGUUAUCAAACUUAAUGCUGACCUAAGUAUGUGGAGUUAGUACUUCAAAAAUUGAUGGGCAAAAAUAAGUCAAUAGUAUUGUUUGAGACCGUGAUCUGAUUUAGAAUUUUAUAUGGCAUUAAGCUAGCAAUGACAUUUUGAGGGAUUCAUGUCAAAACAGUCUUUAUGUGUAAACAGUUAUAUGAACAUGUUUAAUAACUUGAUGUAAUAAGCUCUAAUAAUUAUGUAUAGUUUAUGUCUUUACUAAUUUUUAAAAUACCAAUGUGUGAUGUAGGGCACUACCUUGUUUUUAAAGUAAAGAAUGGGCUUAUCACAUUUAAGUUCUGUAUUGAGAUAAACUAGUGGCUGUUGAGCUGACUUGUUUAUGGCUGUCUGUCUAAUAUUUUAGGGGUGACUAUUUUUAGAGUUAUUUUUCUCUGUGAUAAACUGAUGACAGGGGCUCAAAGUAAACCCUGUUUCAGUGUUAUAGAGGCUUUCAAAGUUUUUUUUUUUAAUAACUUAAAAGAGGAGUAACAUUUUUAUUUAGGAAGUUUAUUUCUUUUGGCAUCAAGACUAGUAUUUUGGUCUUUUUCUAUCUUUAUGUUUUUUUUCUUUUAUUUGAUCUCUAUUUAAAUUAUGGUGUAACAUCUAAAUUUGCGUAGGACCAUGUUAGUUUCUGCAAUCCCUUGAAAAUGGGUGGCCCUCUAUAAAUUUAGGGUGCUAUGUACUGUCUCUUUGAGUUUCAUAAAAACAGUAGGAUUUUUCUAAAGGCUUACUAAAAUAAUAAUAAUUAUUAUUAUUAUAAUUAUAUAUAAUAUAUUGUUAUAUAAUUAUAAAUUAAUAUUAUUUUAUAUUACCUGUUGGAUCCUGUUUAUCCCUGGGGAAUUGUCUGUGCUCCAAACAACCAGGUUUGUCCCUAUUCUGUGUUUUUGGGACAAGAUUAAGAUAGAUCUUUUUAAAAUUGUUCUUAGGAUGGCCUUCUAUUUUAAAUUUUAGCUAAGUAAUAGCAUAAUAUCUAGGUGAGGUCAGACAUCUGGCAUAAGUUCUGAAAUAUAUUUGGAUCUCUUGAAAAUCUCUCUGAAUUUGUUCUUAUCUGUAUUAAGCUAGAGAGGUUUCUUUUGUUUAAGGCCUUGUCUCAUGGUAGUGACUGAGGCCAGACCUACAAUAUAUGAAAAUAAGACACCUCUUUUGAUCAUUGUAAUUCAUUUUGAUGUUACAUGUAAAAUGGAUAAAUUAAAAUAACCUUUAAUCCCUUCCUGAGAGAAGGUCUCAAAAUAUCUUUAUAUUUCAUAAUAUUAUCCUUUAAAUGGAUCAGUGUCUCUCAGUUGUCUUUAAAAAAUAUGAUUAAGGGUACUUCCCAAUGAAGGGAGCUGCAUAUAAGUCUGAUAAUAUAUCUUGUGGGCUAUAGGUCCAGUCAGAGAACCCUACAUGAUACAAAUGAAUUCCCAAUAAAAUUUGUAGCUUCUGUUGCUCAAAAUUAACAUAUAGCCUUAAUUUGGAGAACAUCAGUUUUAAUAAAAUGUUCUCUUAAAUCUCACAGAUAUUUUAGAAACUUAUAUAUUUAACAAACGAAAUUAAUAUGUAAGAAUUAGCAGUAAUUAUCAUAAUUAUGAUGUUUUCAAAUCAAUUAAAUGUAGUCUUUGAAGAGAAGUUUCAAAAUUCGAACUCAAGGUAAUAUUUGAAGACAUUUAUUGUUUAAUCAAGGAUGUGUGAAUCUUAAUUCACUAUAAAUUAUUCCUUGUUUAAACAGCAAGAAUCACUAGGCAUAAACUUAAUGUUUCAAUAAGUUCUGUCAUUCAAAAUUUGGACAAAAAUCUUUAUUUACAUCAGCAUAAUAAGAUCAGGGAAAAGCCUGAAAUAUCCUAAAACUGAUCAUUUUAUAUAUUUAUAGUCAGUUCAGUUAUAUAUGAAUCUGUUUUUCAAUUACCUUAACUUCUUAUAUCACUGUCUAGAUAAUCACAUAAAGAUUUCUAUGUUCAGGGGCUGGGGUUGUGGCUUAGUGGUAGAGUGCUCACCUAGCAAGUGUGAGGCCCUGGAUUCGAUCCUCAGCACCACAUAAAAAUAAAAUAAAUAAAAUAAAGAUAUUGCGUUCAACUACAACUAAAAAAUAAAAUAAGAAAUAUUAUUUUUAAUUGAUUUUAUUUUAUAAAUACAUGACAGUGGAAUGCAUUACAAUUCUUAUUAAACAUAUAGAGCACAAUUUUUUAUAUCUCUCUGUAUAAAGUAUGUUCACCACCAAUUCAUACCUGUACUUGGAUAAUGAUAUCCAUCACAUUCCACCAUUAUUGCUAACCCCCUGCCCCCUCCCUUCCUCUCCUACCCCUCUGCCCUAUCUAGAGUUUGUCAAUUCCUCCCAUGCUCCCCCUCCCUACUCCACUAUGAGUCAGUGACCUUGUAUCAGAGAAAAAGUCAGCAUUUAUUUGGGGGUGGGGUGGGGGGAAUUGGCUAACUUCACUUAGCAUUAUCUUCUCCAGUGCCAUCCAUUUACCAGCAAAUGCCAUGAUUUUAUUCUCUUUUAUUGCUGAGUAGUAUUUCAUUGUGUAUAUAUGCCACAUUUUUUACUCCAUCUACUGAAGGGCAUCUAGGUUGGUUCCACAGUUUAGCUAUUGUGAAUUGUGCUGCUGUAAGCAUUGAUGUGGCUGUGUCCCUGUAGUAUGCUGUUUUUAAGUCCUUUUAGUAUAGACCGAGGAGAGGGAUAUCUGGGUCAAAUGGUGGUUCCAUUCCCAGUUUUCUAAGGAAUUUCCAUACUACUUUCCAUAUUGGUUGCACCAAUUUGCAGUCUCACCAGCAAUGUAUGAGUGUGCCUUUUUCUCCAUAUCCUCGCCAACACUUAUUAUUGUUUGUCUUCAUAAUAGCUGCCAUUCUAACUGAAGUGAGAUGCUAUCUUAGAGUAGUUUUGACUUGCAUUUCUCUAAUUGCUAGAGAUGAUGAACAAUUUUUCAUAUAUUUGUUGAUUGAUUGUGUAUCCUCUUCUGAGAAAUAUCUGUUCAUGUCCUUGGCCCAUUUAUUGAUUGGGUUAUUUGUUUUUUUUGGUGCCUAGCUUUUAGAGUUCUUUAUAUACCCUAGAGAUUAAUGCUAUAGCUGAUGUGUAAGGGGCAAAAAUUUGCUCCCAAGAUGUAGGUGCUCUCUUCACCUCACAGAUUGUUUCUUUUGCUGAGAAGAAACAUUUUAGUUUGAGUCCAUUUCAUUUAUUGAUUCUUGGUUUUACUUUUUGCACUAUAGAAGUCUUAUUAAGGAAGUUGAGGCCUAAUCCCACAUGAUGAAGAUUAGGGCCUCCUUUUUCUUCUAUUAGACGCAGGGUCUCUGGUUUAAUUCCUAGGUCCUUGAUCCACUUUGAGUUGAGUUUUGUGCAUGGUGAGAGAGAGGGGUUUAGUUUCAUUUUUUGCGUAUGGAUUUCCAGUUUUCCCAGCACCAUUUGAUGAAGACACUAUCUUUUCUCCAGUGCAUGUUUUUGGCACCUUUGUCUAAUAUAAGAUAAUUAUAAUUUUGUGGGUUAGUCUCUGUGUCCUCUAUUCUGUACCGUUGGUCUACUAGUCUGUUUUGGUGCCAAUACCAUGCUGUUUUUAACAAAAACAGUUAACAGCUAUUGCUUUGUAGUAUAGUUUAAGGUCUGGUAUAGUGAUGCCACCUGCUUCAUUCUUCCUGCUAAGGAUUGCUUUAGCUAUUCUGGGUUUCUUAUUUUUCCAGAUGAAUUUCAUGAUUGCUUUUUCUAUUUCUAUUAGAAAUGCCAUUGGGAUUUUGAUCAGAAUUGCAUUAAAUCUGUAUAGUGCUUUCGGUAGUAUGGUCAUUUUGAUAAUAUGAGUUCUGCCUAUCCAAGAGCAAGGUAGAUCUUUCCAUCUUCUAAGGUAUUCUUUAAUUUCUUUCUUUAGAGUUCUAUAGUUUUCAUUGUAUAGAUCUUUCACCUCUUUCAUUAAGUUGAUUCUCAAGUAUUUAUUUUAUUUAUUAAUUUUUUGAGGCUACUGUAAACGGGGUAGUUUUUCGCAUCUCCCUCUCAGAGGAUUUGUCACUGAUCUGCAGAAAUUCAUUUAUGGGUGCUGAUUUUAUAUCCUGCUACUUUGCUGAAUUCAUUUAUUAGUUCUAGAAGUUUUCUGGUGGAGCCUUUUGGGUCUUCUAGGUAUAGAAUCAUAUUGUCAGCAAAUAGUGCUAAUUUAAGUUCUUUUCCUAUACGUAUGUCUUUAAUUUCUUUCUUCUGUCUAAUUGCUCUGGCAGUAUUUCUAGAACUAUAUUAAAUAGGAGUGGUGAAAGAGAGCAUCCCUGUCUUGUUCCAGUUUUUAGAGGGAAUGCCUUCAAUUUUUCUCCAUUUAGAAUGAUGUUGACCUGGGGCUUAUAUAGCCUUUAUGAUGUUGAAAUAUGUUCCUGUUAUCCCUAGAUUUUCUAGUGUUUUGAACAGGAAGGGGUGCUGUAUUUUGUCAAAUGCUUUUUUCUGCAUCUAUUGAGAUGAUCAUAUGAUUCUUAUCUUAAGUCUAUUGAUGUGAUGAAUUACAUUUAUUGAUUUCCUUAUGUUGAACCAACCUUACAUUCCUGGGAUGAAUCCCAGUUGAUCAUGGUGCAUGAUCUUUUUGUAUUUGAUUUGCCAGAAUUUUAUUGAGAAUUUUUGUAUCUAUGUUCAUCAGAGAUAUUGGUCUGAAGUUUCUUUCUUUGAUGUAUCUUUGCCUGGUUUUGGAAUCAGGGUGAUAUUGGCCUCAUAGAAUAAUUUUGGAAGUACUGCCUCUUUUUCUAUUUCCUGAAAUAAAUUGGUAUUAGUUCUUCUUUAAAGGUUUUGUAGAACUCGACUGUGUAUGCAUCCCAUCCUGGGCUUUUCUUGGUUGGUAGGCUUCUGAUGGCAUCUUCUGUUUCAUCACUUGAUAUUGGUCAGUUUAAAUUGUAUAUAUCUUCCUGAUUCAAUCUGGGCAAAAAAAAGAAAAUUAUUUAUUCAGGAAAAUCCUUCUAUCAUUAAAAUUUAGAAUAUAUAAAAGCCUUUUCUUUUUACCCAGAGAUAAUUUCUUUCUUCCUCUUAGGACUCUUCCAAUUUCUUAUUCUCUAUACAGAAGUAUUUCUUUCUCUCUCCUACUAGAAUUCUUCCUUGGUUAUAUUUUGGAAUAAUUCCUGUAAAUCUUAGAAUCUAAACAAUUGUUGUAUUUUAAUAAGAAGAGUUACUUCAAAUGAAAUGUAGCCAAGGCUUUUUGGAUAUCUCUGUUUACAGAAUUAUAUCUAUCAUUUUAUAAAAACCUGAACAAUAAUUUAGGAAUUAGAGAUUACUUGAUGGUUAUAUGUCAACCUUAUAAUUUAAUGAGUAUUUCUUGGAAUAAACAUUUUAUAGUAAAUUACAUUUACCUUAAAUAUCUCUAAAAAGCAGAGAAUCAGAUAAAUGCAUGUAUAAAAAAAUAUAAAUUAUAUGAUUCCUGUUGAGGGAAAAUGAUUAGAAGCAAAUAGACAUAUAUUAAUUAUCCUCUAAAUUAAAGACUAUACAUUAUUUAUGUAACUGGGAAAAUAUGCAUUAAGAAUAAAAGUAUAGCUUAUAAUUAUGUAAUCAUAAAUCUUAUGAAACCCUGUGCUUCUUAAAAGUAUUUGGAUCCAUUUUAACUUACUUUUAACUAGGAGUUCACCCUUAUAUCUAGGUGAUGUCACAUCAUGCAGUUAAAAUAAGAUCCUUGUGCAUACAUUUAUGUAUUUUUUGUAUUUACAUAGUAGAAGUGAAAAGAAUAAGGAUUCUUUGGUCGUCAUGGGAACACUGUGAGAAAAGAUCUCAGAUUGCUGGCUUUCUGUCCUCAUGACAAGCAAAUGCACCCCAUAACUUUUAAAAAUGAAAUUAAGCUAUAAGCAUAUGCAUAGUAUCUCAUUAAUGUAACGUUAUCUUUGCAAUUUCUCCUUAAUAAUAUAGCCAUAGAAAAUUCCUAGAGGAACCUGUAGGAUAAAAAAUCAGAUUAUUUAGCUUUGAGAACAAGUCAGGCUGAGAGCUGCAGUGGAAGAGUUUGCUGAAUUAGAUUUUGUCUGAAAAUAAAUAUUUUUGUUAAAGGGAACAUAUUAAAAACCAUGAAAAGAAAUUUUCUGACAGCGGGGCACAGCUUUCGUAACUCCAGUUGUCAGCCUGUGGGAGACAGAUAGUAUAGUUUAGUGGUUGGGCAGUGGGAGUGGAAGCUCUGUUUGAGUGGUGGUAGUAAGGUGGUAGGAAGGUCACUUGGUUGGGGGAUUCUUCCAGGUUUUGCUGGAAGAAUCCAAAGUUUUGCUUGAAAUUGUAGGAUUUUUACUCCCUGUGUUGUCUCUUCUGACCAUGGCAGUCCUUGGUUGAAGCUUGGCAGCGCCCAGCAGCGCGUGUUUGUGGCUCUGUGCAGUCCAGUCGGUGCUCCUGCUAUGGGUUACCAUGGUUAGUGUGUAGCGGAGCAGGUCACAUUGGCAUCUGGACCAACAAAGGACCCUUUGGCUGGCUGCGCCUUGCCUGUCCCUUUGCCCUCUGUUGUGCCCUUUGCCUGGUACCUGGCACUGGGCCUGUUUGUCUGCAUUUCCCCACUUCAAAUCCCCUUGACCUUUCAUGGGCACUCCGCCAUUUUCCCUUGGGUUGUGGAUGUUCCGGUGGCGGCAACGUGCCCUUGCCUCGCUGUUCCCUCAGGCACCCAGUGCAGGGGGGAGCAGCCAGACUUGUGUCCCUGUGAGUCCCGGCCAGCGGCCAGCAUCCCCCUAAUGGUGGCACAAAGCCGCAGUGCAAAAUGAGCCUCCCCUGGUGCUGCCAUAUUGUAUUGCCUGGGCAGGAUCCUUUGAGCUGGUCUCUGUGACUUGUGUUGACCUUAGCACUUUCUCAGUCAGUGGACCGUUUCCCUGCAUCUCCCCCUUGCAGUGCCUCCUGCAGAUGUCUCAGAAAUCUUUCAACUGAAAAGCAGGCUCCAGCAACAGAAGCUGGUGCCAAUGUCCUGCACAUGGACAUUGUGGGCCAGACUAGGUUAUCUAAGGAGCAAAAGUAUUGCUGGCAGUGGGUCUGCAAGGAUAAGUUAAAGACCCCAUAGGGAAGAGCAGCCAAAGCCUUACAUCUGCAUGAGAGUAGCAACUGGGUUACAGCUCACUCAGUUUCAGUAUUCGGUAAGGCUGCAGUAAGAGGCUCAGUAGAUUUAUUAGCCCAAUUUAAAUUGCCUGAAUAAUUCUAGAAAGUAAUAAUCAAAUUAAAAAAAUUAAAUACUUUAUUUCUCUAGAAGCAUAGAUUUCUGGAAUUUUAACGUUCCAUAAUAAAACAAUUUUUCCUCUCGCUCUUCUUUCUCUAAACAUUAAUCUCCAGUAUACAAAUCCAAAUUUUCUUAUCUAAAACAUUUCAAAACACAAAAAAUCCACAUUAAUUCCACAAUAAGCCCUAAAAACCAUGCCUUUCUUAUGAGAGAGAGAGCUACACUUUAACCAUAUACAUAUUAUCAACUACCUUAAACACAAUCCUAGUGGGGACUCCAUUUAUGGCCAGCUAGCCAGGCUGGUGACAUGAGCUGGGUUCACAAAAGCUGGCUACAUUAAUAACUAAGAAAAUGGCAAAAGAAGCACGCAACACACAGAAAUACCUUUUGCUUGCAGGAAUCAGGGAGGCCUCUCAACCUUAAAGGUCCUUGGAAAGAGAAAGAAAGCAUGCCUUAGACCCUAUUUUUUGAGGGGAAGACACUUGAGAAAGUUCCACCCAAGUGAGGGAAGGAAUUGAGUUUCAGGGGGGGUGUAACCCAGUCCCAUUGGGUGACUGCCCACUCCUGGAGCUUCAUUCCCCUGCUGAGCAGAGGUGAGGUCCACCUGUUUUGUCCACUGCUGAAGCCAGUCUCACACCUCCAUUACUCAAGGCUAAGGGUACAUCCUCAUUCCUAUGUGGCAUCUCCUGAUACACUGUGGCCAGAACUUUUGCAGUUUUAGAUUUGACAGUGAAAGUAGCAUGAAUUUCAUUUGAAAAUUUAUUCUUGCUGUAGAUCUUAGCAACCUCAACAGACAAUUUAUUUAUUUAUUUUUUUAAGUUGAGAACCUUUACCUUUUUACUUAAUGGAAGCAUUUGACAGCUUCUUUUUGACACAUCCACAUUGCCAGCAUCACUGCUUUGGGGCUUUAGGGUCAUAAUUAAGUAACUAAGGGUUACUCAAAUAUAAGUACUGUGAUACCAUAACAGUCAAUCUUAUAACCAAGACAGCUAUUAAAUGUAUGCAGGUAGUAUUUAUACUGCAUCUAUACUAUGCAUCAGCUGUGUAUUCAUGUCCCCAGUAGAACAGAGUGAGAUUUCAUCACACUAUUUAGAACAUUGUGUGAUUUAAACUUAUAAAUUGUUUAUUCCUGGAAUUUUCCUUUUAAUAUAUUUGAAUCAUUGUUGAACUCAGGUAACUGAAACCAUGGAAAGAAAAACCAAAAAUGGAGAAUGGAAUCAUUGUCUAGAAAAUGUAAUUUUUUACAUUUAUAAUUUGCCUAGCAAUAUAAUAUAAAUAAUUUUUAAUAAGUCUAAUACAUAAUGUCUUAGACCUUUAAUGAUAAAGUUAUGAACUUUUAUUAAAAGACAUUAUUAAUUUAAUGUGGAGAAACACUACAUUAAUGAAUUAGAACACUUAAAUGUUGAAAACAAUAUUAUUUCUCAGUGCACAUGGAAUCAAAUACCUAAUAUUUGGGGAAUUUUAAUGUUGUUAUUAUUAAUAUUUUUAAUAUAAUAAAAUGCUAUUAUUUUAGUAGCAUUUUGAUGAUACUUGACACUAUAAUUCUGAACUUAUAUAGGGUAGUUAUUCAAAAAUUACAAGUGCAUGCCUAAAGAAUAAGAUGUUUUUCCUGCCCUAUAUCAAGGAGGUCUGGUUUUCCUGCCUUUAUAUCAUGAUUUAAUAUAAAACCAUAGUAAUUAAGCUAGUGUAUGAUUUAGGGAUAUACAAAUUGCCCAAUGGAAAACAAUAGAGAAUUCAGAAACAGAUCCACCUGUAUAUAGAAACUUUGUUUUAUUAUAAAACUGGUGUGUACUGGUCAAUGAAAAGUGGACACAGUUUUCAGUAUAUGGCUUAAGGCAUUAGACUGUCCAUACGAAAGAGAAUGAAGUGGGAUUCCCAAACACAAUGGGAAAAAAAAGUUAAAAUGUUUUAAAUUAACAAUUAUAAUUAAAUUUAAUUAUAAAACUAAAAAUUAGAAGAAGCAGAAUUCAGGAAAGAAGUUGAAGAAAAACCAAAACUUUCAAAGAAAUGAAAACAAGAAUUUGAAAGAGUGUAAGAGAAAAAAGAUGGUGCAGAAAUCAGAGGUCAUAGAGAUUAGAAAUGAGAGAAGUAAAUAAAUUCAAGUGUACAUCUGAAGAAAUGAUAAAAUAUCUUAGUUUUAAAAUAUCAAUGUUUACAAUACACCAGGAACCAUAUCAUUAACUUUUCUCAUGCUUCUGAGUUAUAUACCAGAAAUCAAAAAGUCAUCUAUAAAUUAUUUUAAUGAUGACUCUAAUGACAACUUAAUUACCCUAUCAUCUGUAGGUUACUAAAGACUAGAAAUCGCUUGACUUAUAGAGGAAUUUGCUCUCACUUUCUCAGCUUGAGGAAAUUUUAUCAAAAAGGCUUAACUAAGAUUUAUCAAAUGACUGUUAUACUUAUUACUCUUUUAUGUAGAAGCACCCUAUUUAAUCCAAUAUACUUAGAAAGGGUUGUAAGAACUAUUAUUAAUUGCAACAUAUAUAUGUCAAUAAAUAAUUUUUAGAGAAUUUUUUAAAGAUCUGUCUUAAUUAUAUUUUUAGCAAAGCUUGUAGCUGUAAAUAGAGAUUACUUAGUUUAGGGAAAAUGGCUGCCAUUUAAUCUAAUUUACAAAGCUAGUCUUCAUUUUUAAAUUUAUCUUUCAAAUAAGACAUCCUUCUUUCAGUAAAAGUCCAACUUGAUUUUUUAACUCAAAUAAAUAUGUUAAUAUAUGCCGCCAUGACAACCAUCACAUGGCAGAAUUCUAAUUCUAAUAUAGAUAAAUAGGUAAGGCACAGAGCCCGGCCAUGUGUUGCCUGGAUACAGUAAUGUACUGCUGCCUUCAGUGUUUCUUUGCUUUGUGCUCACUAAAGUCUCCUAGAGAGAUGCUUCUUUAACAGUAAUCAGGCUGUGGAAGAAGGAAAGGCUUUAGGUAAAAUAUCAUCUCUACUGCUUUAUUUUAUCUGAUUUAUAAUAUUAUAAUAUGGACCCAAAUACUCAAUUACUUAAUAAAAUAUAUAUGAGAUAGGAAAAGAACAAUUUCAUUGAUUAAAGGAGAAUUUUUACAUAGCAUUGUUUUAAUUUGUCCCCUUCUUUGGCCACCUGGGGUUUUACAUCCCAGGAAUUAUACAUUUCUUUUAUAAAGUGGAGGAAAGGUAAUUGUGAAGUGGGGAAAGGAGCCAGCAUGAUAACUUGGCUACCAGCGUAUUCCCAGAAAGAUCAGUAUUAGGAAGAAUGAAGGUUGAGGAGCUAGAAAUUGGUUGUCUUAAAACGAUCUUAUCUUGCCUUAAAAUUACACAUUUCUUGGAAAGUCUUUGUAAAAACCCAAAUGUUCCUCAGUUUGAGGGCUACUGACAUAUGGGAAAGGUAAGAUAAAUUCAUUAUAUGUAUAAUUGUCAACACAACAAUAAAAAACCUAAAUUAAUGAAACCAAUGACUAGAUAUUAAAAUAAAAUAAAAGUCAACUUGAAUUUAAAUAUCAAAAGAGCACACUGUGUGCCUUGGCCUUAUAAAUUUCAUGGACCUCAGAUAAAGAAAAUUUCUCUGUGGAAUCAGGCAAUAGAUUGAGAUAUUUAUAAAAGGGAAAAUGAUGCUGGCCUUAGAUUUCACUUGAUGUAAGAAAAUAGAGCAUAAUUUUAAGAUUUGUUUUAGAAAAGAACAGGUAAUUUUUUAGACUUUUGUAUUUGUCUCAUCUUUCAAGUAUAAGUCAACAAAUAGUUGUGAACUAAAAAAAAAGUUUUUAAAGUAUUCCUUUGAGCCUUUAUGAGGAAAUACUAGAAGAUAGACUCUUCUCAACAUGGUUUUGCAAGGUAAAGAUUUGAAGUAGCCAAAACAUCUUCUGCCAGUGCUGAAAGCAUUUUUUUUCAUUUUUAGAUGAACUGUGGGUUCUGGUAACACUACCUAUGAGCAAAUGGACUGAUUUCUCAGGCCUUUGAGGUUCUCCAAAAUUAGAAAAGAGUCAUUCAGCUGUCUCAUCAUUAAUGGAAAGGACCUGAGCCAAGAGGCUGGAGAAGAGAAUCAACCACAUAGAAUAGAGUGCUGCAUUCAGGUUCAACUUCCUCAACCCAAAGAUGAAACACUAAGUUUUCAUACCAAUUUCUAAAGGUUAGUUCAUGAUGAAGUUGACAGAAUUUGGGUAAUGGACUUUACUUAAUGUGAGUGUUGUUUAUCAAAAAAAUUUUCAAAAAACAUUAACUUUGCAUUUUUCUAGGUAAAACAAGUUAAAUCAGUAAUAGAUCUCAUAUGCGUGGGUUUAAUAACCCCUGAAUAUGUUUGGGUUGGUAAGAAAAGUGGAAUAUAACAUUCCUGGCUUUGGAACUAAACUGCAUAGUUGUGAGCUAUGGCAAAAUAUGUGUCCUUUAUUCCUUUCUGAGAAGUAUUAAAUGAAGAGUAUUAUAUUUUUGUCUAUAUCUGAACCAAAUUUUCUACUGGCGUUACCCUGUUUUUGACCUGUAUGGUUGAUGGUGGCAGAUAAGAAAAAUGAAGUCUGUAAUAAGUUUAUCUGAGAGUGAGCUGCAGUACUCUUUGGUACUAACACUGCAGCCAGGGUGCUAGAUAAUCCAGGCCAUGAAUUGUGUUCUGCAGUCUGAUUGCCCAGAGAGCAGAUAGAAUUGCCGAGUAAAAAAAAGGAUGGUGAGGCUUUAUUAAUUUUGCUCCCCUCAGAAGAAAAAAAAAUGGUGCAACAACUUCUUGAAAUGAGAGUGUGCCCAUGAAAGAAACAAAGAAUAUGAAUCCAGAAACACAUAGAAACAUUCAGGAAAACAAAAACAAAACUGGAGUCACUUUAAGCCCCAAAAUAACAAUUAAAAGACUUCAAACAUGUUUUUUUUCCCCUAUGUUUACCUAUACCUUAAUAUGCUGUAUCUCUUGAUCUUGUUAUGACAUGUUGGAUAAGAUUUCUUUGGAAAAUGUGGAAUCAACUGAUGAAAGAAAUUGUAAAUGUGCCUGGGGCUCUAUCCCUCCAGGAUGGCUAAGUGGAAGAAUUUAGAGUCUAUUUAGUAUUAGUAAUGAAGUGGGGAUGGGGGAGAGGAAGAUGGGGGUGAAAAUGGAAGAAAAAGUGGUAAAAAAAAUAAAGUGGUCUCAAAAUUUGUCCACUCCACAUACUGACAAAGCACAGAAAAUCAAGAAGAUUCAUUUGAAGUUCAUGAGCAGAGAUGAGGAUAUAUAUUAUAUAAAUUUUUAUAUAUUAUAUAUAUUUACACACACGUGUGUGUGUGUGUGUGUGUGUGUGUGUUUAUAAUCUGAUGUAGAGGAAUAGGUUUGGCAAUGGCCACCAAUGCAAAAAUUCAACAUAAAGGAUACUAAGGAAGAGGACUAUAGUGGAAUAAACUUCAUAAAACAAACAAACAAAAGACUUCAGAAAGAGAACAAAUUUGAUCAAGAAGAUUAUGGAAGAGUAAGGUAAAGCACAUGAAGAGAAGACUUCUUAAAGGGAAGCCCAAAGAGAAGCCACCAAAAGGCAAGCAAAGGCCAAAGAUGAAAGAGAUGCCUUUUAGGAUUGGGAUGAUGGGGUGGGGGGAUUUGAUCCAUUCACUCUCAGACCCUCUAAAGACAAAGUAUGAAAAAUAUGGUAGGGGAGCUAUGAAAAUAAAAAUUAGUAACACCAGGAAGAAACCAAAUGAAGAAAAGGAAUAACAGUGAGUGGAACAUACCACAGUAGAAAAGGCUGCAGUGGAACAGAACAAGGCCAAGCCAGAAACCAUAAUGUCUUUGCAUACAGACUUAUCUUUAGGAGAAAACAAAGAGCUUGUGUUACAUCUGCUCAAAGUAAAAGUUAACUACUUCCUGCUUUUCUCUUCUUUUGAAACUCCUGGUUGUGACUUUGUGAGCCAGAAGUCAAAAGAAUUGGCUUUGGAGCACGUAAGUAAUGUGAGUCCCAUGCCUAAAGGAUCAGUGAAUCUGCAGACAAAGUGAUCAUGUGUCUAACCCCCUUCUUGCCCCAUCGUAGAAUACAGUUGAAGCAAGAGCAGAUUAUAAAAUUCUCCUGAUCCUAUUUCUAGAAUUUGUGUUUUAGAUUUUACCUGUUUCUUUUAUUUUGCUGCCAAGUUGUAGAGUCCUUGUCCCAUUUCUAAAAAUUCUUGACUUGUUUUCCAUACAGACCGUAUUAUGUAUUAUUAAACAAAAUUUCUCAGAAGUUUGAUGGAUUUAAUAUUUCUGAAGGGAGAGUAUGGGAAAGCAGCCCUAAGAAAUAAGUACUUUUGCAUUGUGAUAGUAAAUUAUAUACCUUUUUCUUAUUUUUAAUAAAAGUAGGACAUUUGGGGAUAUAUUUAACAAAAGACAUGCAGAAUCUCUACUUUGAGAACAAAACAGUACUGAGAACAAUUAAAGACUUAAAUAAAUGAAAAGAGAUACUUUGUUCAUGGACUGGAAGACUGAAAUAGAUGACAUUUCUUCCAAUGUUGAUCUAUAAAUUCAACAUUAAUCCCUAUCAUAAUCCCACAGGUUUAUUUUUUGUAAAAGUGGCAAGCCAAUUCUAAAAGCAAUAUGGAAAUGUAAAAAACUGAUAAUCUCCUAAAUAAUCUUCUAAACAUAGCUAGACGACUUGAUUUUGUACCUUAACUAUAAAGCUACAAUAACCAAGACAGUGUGUUACUGCCAUAAAGAUUAAUAAAUAGGUCAGUGCAAUUGAAUAGAGAGACCAGUUUAUACCCACACUUAUAUAGUCAUUUGAUUUCUAACAAAAAUCCAAAGCAACUCAGUGGGGAAGGAAAAAGAAUUUUUAUAAUGGUACUGUAGCAACUAGAUAUCUAAACCAAAAUAAAUCUCCAUUGCUAUCUAGCACCAUGUACAAAGAUCAAUGUGAGAUGGAUCAUAUUGCUAAAUGUAAAAGCUAAAACCAUAAGGACUUGAGAAGAAAACAUUGGAGGAUGUCUUUAUGACCUGGGGGUAGGCAAAGAUUUCUUAAGAUGUAAAAACAAUCACAGUAAGAGGAAAGUUUUAUAAGUUAGAAUUUAUCAAAAUUAAAAAACCUUGUGUUCAUCAAGAGAGAAUUAAUGAAAGGAAAGCCACAGACUGGGGAAAAACAUUUAUGAAGCAUGUAUUUGUCAAACUAUGUAGAUACAAAUUUAUACAGCUCCAUAACAAGAAGACAAAACAAAACAAAACAAAAAAAGUGUUAAAGCAGACAAAUGAUUUGAAAAGAUACAUAACUUGGACAGACCCUGCCCAGCAGAAGACAUUCACAUGGUAAGUAAACAUGUGCUCUGCAACAUUAAUCAUCUGGGAAAUGUGAGUUAAAAAAUAUCACUGAUUCAAAGCCAGCCUCAGCAAUGGCAAUGCACUAAGCAACUCAGUGAGACCCUGUCUCUAAAUAAAAUACAAAAAAAGGGCUGGGGAUGUGGCCUAGUGGUCCAGCGCCCCUGAGUUCAAUCCCUGGUACGAAAAAAAGGAGGAUAAUGAGAUAUUCAUCAUAAUUGCUAAAAUUAAACAGAUUGUUAAUGAAUUUCUUAUACAUCUUAAACAAGAAUCUUAUACAUUUUAGGAAAAAAGGUCUGAAAGUUUCUUACAAAGUUAAACAUACACUAACUUGAUGUUAUGAUCUGGAUCUUAAAUGUCCCCCAAAAUUUAUGUUUUGAAGGCUUGCUCCCCAGUGCAUCAAUGUUCGUGUUUGGUGUGUAGGGGGGUAGUCUUUGGAAGGUGAUUAGAUCAUGAAUGCUCAGGCCUCAUAAACAAAUUAAUCUACUUAUGGAUUCAUCACUUAAUGGGCUUGGGGGGGGCGGGGGUGUUGCUAUAAAGGCAAGCUCUCUUUCUGUUUUCUGACCAUCAUGAGAUAAUCAGUUUUGCUUCAUCACAUAUUUCCCACUAUAACGUUUUGCCUUGUGAUGGACCCAAAGCAAUGGGGCCAACUGAACAUGAACUAAAAUCUGAAACCAUGAGCCAAAUAACUUAUUUCCUGUUAAGUUGUUUUUCUCAGGUAUUUGCCACAGCAACAGAAAGCUGACUAAUAUACCUAAUGACUCAGCAGUUUUCCUAAAAUACGUGAAAAUAUAAGUUUACCAAAAGAUGAAAUAUCACAAGUAUAUACUAUUUUAUGUCUGUCAGACUGGCAGAAAUGUUGGCAAGAAGUAGAACAUCCUGACCUCUCUUACCCUAUUAGUGGUUAUAUAAAUGGGGUAUACAUAUAAAACAGUUUGUCAUUAUCUAGUAAAUUGAGUAUAUACUACCUCACCAGUUCUAGGCAUAGAAGCUUGCAAAUGUAUAUGAAGAAACAUGUGUAGGAAUUUUUCAGAAAAUUGAAACCAGGUCAGAUAUCCAACAAAAGAAGACAUAAAUUGUGCUUGCUGUAUUCAAAUAAAUCAUCAGGGAUAGAUUUCAUAAAUGUAAUACUUAGUGAUAAAACCAAGUGACAGAAUUCUUCCAAUAUAAUUCUGUCCAAAAUCUUGCCAAAAUUAAACAUCAUAUUGAGCAUACACACACACACACACACACACACAUACACACACACUAGAAAGUAAAGAAAAAAUUUAGGGUAGUGGAGGAGAAAGCAUGAGAAAAAAGAUUGGAAUGGGAAAGACCAUAAAGGAGACUUCAAAGUCUUGAGUAAUGUUCCAUUUCCUAAACUGGCUAGUGGGAAAACGGGUGUUCAUUUUAUUAUUUCUUUUUAACUUACACAUAUGUUGGAAGUAUUAUUUGGUAUGUAUUCAAUUUUAAUAGUUUCUUCAGAAACAAAUGUAAAUUUUAGAGUUAAAUAAUCUUUAAGGAUGCAUAAUUAGCAAUAUAUUUAAAAUGUAAGAAAUAUUUGUGAUAUCAUUAAUCCAGUCAUUCAUUCAAGUGUUUAUCAAAUGCUUGGGCACAGACUGAUAUGGAUAUGACCUUGGUUGAGGCUUUAUUUAAAAGCUACAGUUUUGGUAGCUAUCUUAAAAAUGAGUUAGAAAAACAACUGAAACAAAAAAUGAUUAUAAUUCAUAUUAGAAAUAAUAUAAAUCUCCUGGCACUAUUUCUCAGAAGUUAUCACAUUAUUACUUAAAGAAGGGAAGGAAAAUUAUGGAUUUCCACUUGAGGGGAAGGGUAAAUGAAACCAUCAGGAAAGACAAAAGUGAUUUUUUUUAUUCUUGGCUCUUUGAAUGAAUCUCCUUCAAGUAGAAUUCUUUUAAAAUAUGGGCCAGACAACUGGGAGGGCCCAGUUCCUGCCUCCUUCCCUAAAUGCUGACCCAGCUGGCUUCCAAAGGCACAUUUUUAUGAAUUGAACUGAUUAUUGACCCCUCAUUGAAUUUAAUUUAUAAUUAGGUCAUGGAGAUUGUAUCCCAUAAUUUAUUCUCUUGGAACGAUAAUUCUCAGGGUACUGUGGCUAACACCUAGAUCUUAAAACUGUUUUGUUGAAUUCUAAACAUUUGAGGUACUUAUAAAUUUUUCAUCUCAACAUUUCAUGCAAAAUCUGUGAACAGUUUUCAUUAAAUCAACUUUCUAGAAAAUACAGGUUGAACUCUCUAUCUAUAAUGUGGCCCUAAAUUUGUAGCUUAAGGAUUUACCCCAAUUCUUAACUCUAUUAAGUAUCCCAACAUACCUGUGGAUACCAAAGAAUAAAUUCAUAAUGUUAGAUAUCUGGCAGGAUGACAGUCUGAUCCCUUAUAUGAACUAUUUAAAUAUACACAAAUGUAAUUCAAAAGCCUUAUUGCUUCAUUUAUCACAGAAAAUGCCAGAGUUCUGUAAUAUUUUGUUAAAAAAACUACUCAACUUGUAUGAAUUCUCAUAGAAAUGACCACAAAUAUUAUGCCAAUUUAAUCCUAAGUAUUGAAGUUAGGGUUCUAAAUGACAUUUAAUACUGUGAUUUAUUUUCUAUCUUAAGCUUUAUAGGGCACAAAACAAGAUCCUAUCCUUUCAUAUUGCUUUUUAUUUUUAAAGAUCCUGAGUGAUGAUAAAAAUCUAAGCUUAAGAACCAUCAAAUGAUUUAUGAUAUUUCAUUUAUUUUUCAAAGGGUUGGGGUGUCACCAGUAAGCCUAUUAGAAUUGUAGGUUUAAAGUUCCAUGAUUUUAAAAAAGGCCAGCUGAAUAAACAAUAUGUGAGCUUUGUAAUUUAAUUCUACAUGAUUUUUUUAAUACUUCAAAGUUCCAAAGGAGGCAAUUUUUCUUAGGUCAUAAAUAGUUGUUUAUGUCAUUAUGAUCUCAAACUUUCUAGUACCAUUCAAAAUCUACUUUUUAAAAUAUUAAUACUUCUGUUUUAUGUUUGUUACAACUUCAAGAUAUCUUUUUCUUUUUUCUCCUAAAAAUCUCACUUUCUCCAUGAAUUGACACUAGUAAAGAUGGAAUAUGGAGAAACUGGAGGAAGACUACUUUUGAAAAAUUAUAGUCAUAGAUGGGCAAUCUAAUAACUAUCUUUGAAAAUGUAUUGAAAGCAAUUUAAUGCUACUUUUAUUAUUAUUUUUUUUGUUGCUAGGGUUGAACCCAGGACCUUGUGUGUGCUAGGUAAGUGCUCUACCACUGAGCUA